rnacentral:lncRNA from 1 species
CAACGUUGAUCAUUGACCAAUGUUCUCGAUUCAACCGAUCAGUUUUUGGCCGGAGGAUGGUAGAUGGGAGUUGGUGAUGCGUACGUUGGCGCUGGGGGGUGGUACUCAGGCUCAGGCUUUGGUUUGGGCUCAGGCUUAGGCUUCGGUGGCACAGGUUUCUUGUGGAAGUGGUCAAAGAACUUGUGAUAGUCAUGGUCCUUGUGGAAGUGAUCAAGGAAGUGCUUCUUGUCAAACGAUAUUUCUUUCACAACCGGAGGGUGGUAGAUCGGAGUCGGAGACCCGUAUGUGGGUGUCGGGGGGUGGUACUCAGGCUUAGGCUGCGGCUUUGGCUUUGGUGGCACGGGCUUCUUGUGGAAGUGGUCAAAGAUGUGGUGGUAGUCAUGGUGUUUGUGGAAGUCAUCGUGCAAGGGAUUCUUGUCGAACAAGUGCCUGGCAGGAGGGUGGUAGAUUGGUGUAGGUGACCCAUAUGUUGGCGUUGGUGGGUGGUACUCAGGCUCAGGUUGAGGUUUGGGCUCUGGCUUGGGCUUGGGUGGCACAGGCUUCUUGUGGAAGUGGUAAAAAAAGUGGUGGUAGUCAUGGCCUUUAUGAAAGUGAUCAGGCUCAGGCUGCGGCUUAGGCUGCGGCUUGGGCUCCGGCUUUGGCUUUGGUGGCACGGGCUUCUUGUGGAAGUGGUCGAAGAAGUGGUGGUAGUCGUGGUCCUUAUGAAAAUGGUCGAGCAAGGGCUUCUUGUCAAACAAAUGUCUAGCUGGAGGGUGGUAGAUCGGUGUGGGUGACCCGUAUGUUGGAGUCGGAGGGUGGUAUUCUGGCUGUGGCUUGGGCUCUGGCUUCGGCUUUGGUGGAACUGGCUUCUUGUGGAAGUGGUCAAAGAAGUGGUGUGGCUUAGGUUCUGGUUCUGGUUUGGGUUCUGGCUUCGGCUUCAGCGGAGAUGGCUUCUUGUGGAAGUGGUCCAAGAAGUGGUGAUAGUCGUGGUCCUUGUGGAAGUGAUCAACCAUGUGCUUCUUGUCGAACAACUGCCUUGCUGGAGGAUGGUAGAUUGGAGUUGGGGAUCGAUAUGUUGGCGUAGGGGAGUGGUACUUCGGCUGCGGCUUAGGUUCUGGCUUUGGCUUUGGCUCUGGCUUCGGCUUCGGUGGCACAGGCUUCUUGUGGAAAUGGUCCAACAGGUGCUUCUUGAUCGGCCCGCAUAGGGUUGCCGACGCGCAUUCUGCCGACGGGUAGUCUGUCUUGCCAGGGACCACGACGAAGUUGCCAUCGGACGACUGCGGCACAAUCCUGGAAGGUUCCUGACCGGGGCACGGGGUGCCCGCGGCGCUGUGGAGCUGCGCAACGCAGUCAGCGGCGUGCAUGUCCGUGCUCAGCGGGAUGCUGAAGGCGCCGGAGACAUCUAGCUUGCCUAUGGCCUUGCUCUCGUACUCGCCUUUGCUGUUCCUGCACUUGAUCGCCACCUCAAGACCUGAAAUGCAUGGAUCGAAAAGCACCGUCAGUACCAGCAGCUAGCUUCUUCUGACCUUACUGAUCAGCUUAAAGCAUUGAGUAUCCACUGUUUAUGUUAUUAGCUUAAUUAAAUAUGCAUGUAUAUUAUUCCUAGUAUAUUUACCCUUGAAUGCCGCUUCGGCCUUCAUGUUCUUCCUGGUGCAAUCGGCGCAUUUGGCGAGGCCGAUAACCACCGAGGACGCCUCACUGGAGGCAGCGCUUGCGACGGCUAUUACCAUCAGCACGGCGAAAAUGCCGGGGAGAAGGCCCCCAUGUACCGCAGCCAUGGCUAGAUGGAUGACUCGAUGAGAUGAAGAAGAGGCAAUGCAAUGCCUGCCUUAUAUAGGCCUACGCAUUGAUCAAACACAGCUCGAUCUUACAUGCAUGCACGCAUGAUCACGAGCUGGUGAGGACUGAGGCGCCAGCACACAUAAUUUUGGCGCCGAAAUUGCAGACCGGCCGGGAAUUAAUGCCGUCCAUUUGAGUUGAUCAAUCUCUGUCUGUCCAUUCAUCAUGUCCAGUCGGUUGGUAGUAGUUGGAGUUGUGUAAGUUACGUCAGUUGCGGCACUUUGGAUUUGCAUGCAUGCAGCGCCAGUACAUGCCCUGUGUAAUGCAGGUUUCCAUUGGUCACAUCGGAAAAGCAAAGCUUGUAAAAGCGCGUGUCCGGUGUGCUCAUCUGCUGGACAAUAAAUUUCAGAACAGUAUAGUAUAGUUUGGUUUGUUUCAGAAAAGGGACAGUACUUUCGGAAUGUGGAUACAAAAUAAGUUCUUUCUGACCGCGUGUAGUUGGAUACAACAUAUAGUAGCACAAAAAAGCUCUAUGAUGACGGUAGUGUCUAAUUUAUAGACGCGGCGAGCCCAAUUCAAGAACCGCCACUGUAAACCCAUUUACACUGACAGUUCACUUAAGGAAACUGUCAGUGUCAAUAGUGCAUUUCCACUAGCGGUUUCCUUAAGUGCUGUGCAAAUAGAUUUACACCAGUGGUACCUUAUGUCAGCCGCCAGUGAAGUUUUUGGUAUAAAUACUCAUUCUUCCUCCACGAGUAGAACUGUUUCUCACAACCACCUUCUAUUAGAGGCCAUUUUGGAGGUCUAGAUUUUUAGGAGGUUGCUAAGAAAUGUUAGUUUAUAUCUCUCUUGCCUCUUUUUGUUCAUUCUUGCUCAAUUUGAACCACUUUAUGGAUCUAGGAUUUCACCAUAUGUUAGAGAGAAGAAUAGCUAGGUUAUUAUCUUUAUUUGCUCAAAUGAUCUUAAGAUUGUUAGAUGAUGUCUCUCCUCUAUCCCUUUUUAUUUUUGCUUCUCACUUUAGUUUAUCCAAGAUAUAUUUAGUUAUUUUCAUGAAUUGUGUGUUCUUGUCUAUUUAUGUAGAUAGAGAAAUAUAGGUUCUUUUGUUAGUUUUAUAAAUUGUGUAGUUUUUUGUCUUCAUUUCUCAAUUUGAUUUAAUUAUCCACUAUGUAUUUAUGUUUCAUGAAUGGUGUGUUUGUAUGUAGAGGGGAAGAUAGGUUUCUUAAUUAAUUAAGAUUAUUGUGUUUAUUAAUUAGAAAAUAUGAAAGAGGUUUCUUUGUUUACCACUAUGUUGUUGACUGAGGUUACUUAGUACGGUUAAUUUUAUUCUUCUAACUUUUAGCGAACCUUGCUUCAAGGUCUAUAAAUUGGAAAAUAUACAAGUGGGAGGUUUUCAUCUUCAUUUCUUCGAAAGAGGUUGGUGAUCAAAAGAUUAGAUAAUAAAUAUCUCUAGACAAUCAUACUUGUUUUGCAUUGAUUAUAAUUAAUUCAUUAUAUUUUUUAUAUGUAAUGAUGGAGAGGUCAUUUUGGAUGUAUAAUUUAUCAAGACUAAAUCCAUCAUAUAUACCCGAGGUCCCUAGGUUUUUUGAUGCUGACUAAGAACCAUGCUUGGAGAACAAAGAUGAAGCACAUCUAUUGUCCAUGCAUAGACUGUACAAAUGUUAUUGUAUUUGAUGACACUAAAUCAAUCAUUUAUUAUUUGGUCUAACAAGAAUUUAUGAUGGAUUACUUGUUUUGGACAAAGGGUAGCUUGCGCCUUAUACAAAUAGAAACCUUACGAACAUCGACGUUGAUGCUGAUGGAUUUCCGUUCCUACAUGAGAUACAACAACCUCUUUCCUAGAGUGAACAUGUUGUGCCAAAUGUUACGGUUAUGGAAGAUGUAGAAUUCUUAGGGUAAAGUUGCAUCAUCAUAUGGAUCCAUGAAUAUUAUUAAUGAAAGGUAUGGAAGCCCUGAUAAAGGCUGCAGAAGAGACUUUGCACGACGAGUCUAAGGGUUAUACCAAAGAGUUCAUGACACUGCGGUCUAUGCUAAAGUUGUCGAUGUUAAAAGCUAGAUAUGGUAUGUCUGAUGCUGGCUUGGAUGCAUUCUUGUGUAUUAUUGCAGACAUGCUUCCAAAGGGAAACAAUGUGUGUGCUAAGACGUACUAUGUAAAGAAACUAAUCAGUCCGCUCACUAUGGGUAUGGAGAAGAUCCACGCGUGUCAUGAUGACGAUGAUUAUAAGGACUUAGAGAGUUGUCCAAAGUGUGGUGCAACUACGUACAAGACAAAUAAAGACUAUCGAGAGAAAGAGUGUGUUGCCUCCAUUUCUAAAGGAAAGAAGCGAAAGGAGACCAAAUAGAACAAACAAUAAAGUUCAAAAUCUAGAAAAAUAUUCCUACUUUGAUGAUGUGGUGUAACACCCUAGUGUUAAGUAUGCAUUAAGGCUUCAUCAAACUUAUAUGAGCAUUGGCACAAGCAUGAGCAUCUCAUGUGUUGUGCUAUAUUUUAUGCAUAUCUUUUAAAUGUGAAUUAAUUUUGAUAAUUGUCAUGCUAUGUCUAAAAAUGCUUGUUAUGCCUAGAUUAAAUUGUUUUAUGCCUAAACUUAAAUUAGAAAAUUUAAGUACCAUUUUUGGAGCCCUAGAAUUAAAGGAGUUGAUUUAAAUUAAAAUUUCGCAAAAUAGAUUUAUUUCAAACCUAGAACUAACUUUAAAUUGAAAUUCAAAAUCCAUUUGGAUUCUUGAUUUGCACCAUAAAGCAAAGUUAUAGAGAAUUUUAUUUUGAGCAACUUUUAUUUUUGGGUCAACUCCUGAAAAUGCAUUUAAAACAGUGUUUAAAAAUUAAUUGAGAAAAUAAAUUCAAAAAAAAGAGAAGGGAGGAGCGCCCUACUGGGCCACGCACCUUGCUUCUGGCCCAGCAGCCAAAGCCGGCCUGGCUCGUGAGCACAUCCCCUUCCUCCUCAGGCGCGCACUGUGGCCAGGUGACGUCGUGGCCGACCGUGCGUAGGCCAGCCGCGCCACGUGGAUGGCAAGCAACGGCAGCGGCUACGACAGUGCCUGCUUGCCCGAGCAGAAGGGGACGACAGCGGCUCUGCGUUGUCCACCUUCUCCACUCCACCCCGACCACACCUCUCUUGCUCUCGUCUCACAAAGCAGAGCUUGACAGCACCAUCGUCCGCCAUAGCCGCUACCGAGCUCCAGCGUCGACGUUCCAUCUUGUUGGUCGCUCCCGCCCUCGAUUCCUCCUGUCCACCGCUCCGUCUUCAUUCUCCUCAUCUCUGAAUGAGUCGGAUUGCCUCCCUUGGCUCAAGGUGAGGGAUAGCCGGCUGUCUUCUUCUUCUCUAGUGUGAACGUCGCAGCGGUUCAUGUGGUCAGCAAGGCCGCCGAGCCUCUUCCUCCUUCCUUUUGCGCGCAUCACAUUCGCCUUGACCUCGCCAAGCUCGUGCGUGCUCUGGUUCAUGCUCUACGCCGGAGUUCGUGAGUCCACCAUCCAGCAGAGCCAUCGUGCCGCCAUGGCCGGCGACGAGCUUGCUUCGGGGUGUCUCCAGACAAACCACCGCGCGCAUCCUGUUCGCCUAGGCUCGGGGAACACACAUGAGUGCUCGGUGUUGCCGUAGGGUUCACCGACAGCGAGAUCAGGCUCGCCGGAGUUCUCCCCCUCUCUGUGUGGCUAACAGGUGGGGUCGAGGACCCACUUGUCUAUACCUGUGUGCGGAUGCGGGUGCACUGCACCGGGUACACCUAGUAGAACUCGCCGAGACUUGAUUCUCAAUUUAAAGAAAUGUUUUUCAGAUAAUGGUUUAAAGCUUGUAAAAAUCAUAGCUUGAUUUCUAUUGCUCCAAAAAGUUUAAACAAAUUUUGUUAUGCUCUAUAUUAGUAGAUCUAAAGUUCGGUGUACUUGGUGUGAGACUUUUCUGUGAAGGUUUAUUUAAAUCUUGAAAAUAUUGAUUUCUUAUAAAAUAUGCAAAAAAUAAAAUAUAGCUCUGAAAAAUGUACUUCCUAUCUUGGUACAUUUGCACUACAAUCUAGCCUCUGUGAAAAAUGAGGAACCUAAUAUUACUCUACAAAAAUAAUUAUUAGUGAAUUAAUGCUUGCAUGAUGAUGGUUUAAGAUUUUUAAUAAAUAAUAUAUAAAUGCAAUUAAUCUAAGAAUUUUUGUAGGGCUCUCCUAUGUUACAAAGUAUUAAGGAAAAAUAUUAAAUUUGUUGUCUGACACUUUUGUAUGUAUAGAGUAUUUUCCAUUGUUUAUGUUUAGCAUACUUGUGAUUUUUGUGUGGGCCAUUUUACUUACCCAAAUUUUGUGAAAGUUUUAUGGUAGACUAUAUGUGUGAUCUAUAAGCUACUGUAAUUUUUAUGGAACUUAUUGAAUACCAGAGGUAUAUGUUGUUGUUAUUGGCCUAGUAAUAAAUAAAUAAAUAAAGAAUUAUUUUAUGUGAACUUGAAAGUAAUUAAACAGUUUGGUGUAUCUUUGAAGCAUUCUAAUGUGUGCUGCUUUAUCUUGGUAGGUGUAGAAAAAGAAUAGAAUAGAAUAACUUGUACUUAAGUUACAUGUUCUUGGAUGACAUUGACUACCUAGUACAAAUAGAUCACAUUGUCUUUUUGUCAUGACUCCCCUCUACCGGAGAGGAGAUAUGCACAUACUCAGUAAAUAACACAUCAUGACCACCCUUGUGAUCAUCUGCAUAAUCAUGCACCAUAUGUUCACCAUCCACUUACUUGAGCAUAUGCAUCAUACAGGCUCGUAGAAGAACGACGUGGUGACCGAACCUGAGGAGCCGGAGGUGACCGAGGUGCAGGAGAUCACUGAGGUGGAAGAGCAAGAAGAGGAGCUGCAAGAGUGUCUAGAUCACAGUCCUAGUUCUUUCGAGAAAGGCAAGCCUUGCUCCCCAAAUUUUCUGCUAAUUAUAUAUAUAUCAUGAUGGUUAUAUUGUUAUAUUAAGUUAUAGGAGUUGCUUGAUACCAUUGAUGUAUUGAAUAUCCCUUGGAAUAUCACCUUUCUACAUACCUUAUCCUAUGUAGUAUGGGCUCAGAGUCAAUGCUUAGCUCUGCUUAGCACAGUAGAAGUCGGAUGAUUCCCUGUCACCUGCGAGCUGUAGGUGGUCACCAAAGGUUUGGCAGUAUGUUUGCUAUCAUAAGUAAUAACCAAAUGUUGGGAAGCAAAGCUAAGACCGGACGAAACCUUUUGGGGGUGUUGGACCAUAGUGAUUCUGUCCUUGUCGAUUAAGGACCGAUCAUUGGUGGUCCUCUUGUCAUGUUGAACGCAUACCCUACACUUAACUUGAAGGAUAAGUUGUUCUGACUGUGAAGGUGGGACGCUAUUUGGGCCAGGAAUUGACCUGAUGUACGCACUGUAUUGGAGAUAGUUGAGGAGACUGAUGAGGGCGCGACGUGCAACCUUGGUAUGCCUUGGAUACCUUUGUCAUCGGAACGGUCCUUGGGUAUGGUGGUGCCUGCUGAACCGUGAAUUGGUCCUGAAUAGUGCAUCCGGUGACCUGUAGCUUACUUGAUCAGUGAGUGUGGCUUAUGUAGGGAAUAAAAUCACUAGCUGGUUAGGAAUUGUUUCGAAUCAUCAUCGCUCCUGGAUAGUAAGCACUUGACUUGAGCUUUGUCAUCGUAUUAAUGUUUAUGGAACACUGGAUGGUUAUGAGAUAUUGAUGAAGCUGGAAAAGCUGCACUAAAUUGGUAUUAUUGUACUGAAUCAAGUGAUUGCUAUAGUACAGGUGUUAAUCUAGAUGAUAGGUUAAUGAUACUUAACUUGAGCUAAUUAUCUAAAAAGGUUAUUUACUUAGUAACUUAAGAUUUUAUGGAAAGUUUGUGUCGAGCUACCCCUUUAUACAGCCUUACAUGAUCUUUGGUGUCAUUUAUUUCUGUUUUGUGAUAGGUAAGUCUAGCUGAGUAUAUUCUCAUAAUCAGGGCUCUGUUUCCAUGUUGUUUUGCAGAUGGGCAGAUGUACUAUGGGUACUGUAUUAACUGUCUUUACCUAGCUAUGGGUGAUGCUUAGACCAAUGGUGUGGUCACUUUGUCUUAUCUUUUGAUUUUGUGGGAAUCAUCAGACUCUAGCACUGUAAUCAAACUAAGUUUGUGUGUUUUCUAAAACUAUUCACUUCCGCUACUACUUUCAAGACUUGGUUUGUAAUAACUAAAUUCAAACUCCAAUGUACUGAAAUGUUUGUCAAUGAUAUGUAUUGUAUGAAUGGCGACCACUGAACUUAUUACGAUCUCUGUUAUGUUUGAGGAAAUUUUGAGAUCCUUCGAGAUUUCAUGGACUACCGGGAUUAUAUGGGCUUAAGUCUUUUAUAAUUUGGACAGUUCUGUUACAGCUAGUGUUGGAGCCAGUUUUAGCGGAUUACAGUUCAUAAGUAUAUUUAAAACAAAUUAAAUUUGUUUACAAAAACUGAUUAUCCAUCACGAAUUAUCAAGGUGUUAAAGUGAAUUUUGGAAAAUUAUAAGUGUGCUAGUGGUCAUAUCCUUUAUGUCUAGUUAAAGACUCUAAGGUGGCUAUUUAAGUACUGACUUGUUGGUUUAUGCAUCAUAUUUCUCUUUCAUUGCUCAUAUGGCAUUGUUGACAUUUACUACCGCCAUUACUAAAAAUAUAGAUAAACCCUACCUCUAGCAACAACGGCAAAAAUGCUCGGUAUAUAAUUAACUUAUCAUUAAGCAACUAGCCACUUCUUAAUGACUAACAUUCCUAAACAUGAAGUAGGUUGUCAUCCCUAAUUAUAUUGCUAGGAAUUUAUUAUAUAUUCACAUGUACUAUUGUGACUAGGCAGAAAUAAAAGAUAUGAAUAUGAUUAUAAACUAAAUGGGUUCUAGAAGUGGACAGAUAAUUAUACCAUUGUAGGAUUUUACCUAGGGAAGUAUCCAGGUUGUCGAUUUAUAUUUAUACCACUGGGAAGGCUAUGUGUUAAACAAUAAUCUAUUAUAUUGAUAAGAAACUAUAUAGGAUGAAUAAAUGAUAUUACCAAGGUUGUCUAAUCUACUCAUAACAGGUAGAGGUCACAAGAUAAAUAUGGGUAAAUAAUAAUGAUAGCAUAAUCAUCAAGUAUCAUAUUUAUGAAUAAUCAUUAGAGCAUCUACUAGUCAUGAUCAUAGUUAGCCAUUAGAUAAACUAGGGAGUUGGAUCUAAGGUAAUUCUAUAACUACAUCACUGAAUAACUCUAAUUAGUGCAAUUACAUCUAGAAAUCAUUGUUGAGCUAACCCUAUAUCAUAGUCACAUGUAAAGAGGCAUCAACUAAUGAGGGUAUUAAGACACAAGGGUCACCUCCUUCGCGACCGUGCCCAUGCUAGUCCUACGUACGAAGGGUGGACUACAGAGGAUACGCAACUGUCACCUAUGCGGUCUACCACACGACCCGACACGUCAGAGUGCACUCGCAGAUAAACAAUAUAUCUAGACACCACGUCUACAUAUUAUCUAUCAUCAACCCAAAGAUCUAUUAGGUCAACGCUAUAUGAGCAAUUACAUGAAUUCAAUAAGAUCAAACCAACUAUCCUAGACAUAUAAUCAAAGUAGACAAUGGCUAUUGCAAUUAAGAAUAUAUGAAUCUAUUAAGAACAAAGUCUCCCUAAUAUACAAUUGAAUACUAUAAAGUAAGAACAAGAUCUAUUACCGAACUCUUGCGCUCCAGACCGAAGCUAGGGGCUCCAGAUCCCGAUGAAGAACUAGAUCUCCUCUACUUCCAAUCUAACUAACUAGAACUACGAACUAGAAGGCUCUUGAUGAACUUGAAGGCGCUUGAUGCUUGAUGGCUCGAGGCCUUGAUGAAUAAUGGAUUGGUUUAUUUCUCCAGGGGGGUCUACCCCUGUAUUUAUAGUCCGGAGGGAUGCGCGUGCGUCGUAGGAUCAAACCGACUUAACCAAGGGCCGAGAUGACUCCUCGUAGGUGGUGGAGGAAGCUUCUAGAAGAGGAAGGUCAAAACCCUAGAUGGGGCACCAGCCGGUGCUAGGGUGGGGCCAGCUGGCCCCACCUGGCAGCCGCCUGGCCCCCUGUUGCUUUGGGUGUCUUCUCGAUCCUUCCUGAGUCCUCCCGUGAUAUUUCCCGUGGUGGAUAAGUUUCGUGUUUAUUUUGUACUAGAAUCCCUCUUUUCAGCUUUCCUAGAAUUCACCCUGAAAAAUACAGGAUAUACAAAACUCGUGGAAAUUGUCAGUUUAAACCCUAGACUAGUGUGUUUUCAUGUUCUCCUUCGGGUUUAAAGCUCUAUAAAAGUUGACGUUAUCGAUCAUCAAUCUCACACCCAUAUUUUAAGAACAAAAUAGGAUGCAUAAAAGACUCAUAUGUGCCCCAGAAACAGUCGCACACAUAAGUAGACAAAUCUCAAAUGUACCAUUGCAGUGUUUAUUACAUAGGGGAACAAUAAUAAAUCACAUAGUCUUAUACAAGAAUGAUAAUAAGAUUAAACAACGCUCUCGACGGAAGCACCACACAGGGACACUGUUGACUAGUUGACUCCAAGCCUAAUACUCAUAACGGUAGUCCUCAUUCCAAUCAUCAUCAUUAGCAUAACCUGGGGUGUUGGGAAAUUGCAAGAGUGAGCACAUAUAGUACUCAACAAGUAUAACCAGGGGUUCAUGAGGCUCAAAUAGCUGACACUGGUUUUACUGAAUUUAGCUUUUAUAUGUAGAUAGCAUGUUUAUAUUUAGAUAGCCAAUAUCAAGGUAGCAUAGUAAAUCCCAUAACCACAUGAUCAAUGUAUACAAGAAUAAAGAAUAACACAUAUAAAUAACAUAAUAAACCAUCAUUUAUUAUCAUUAAUCAUAUUCAUCAGUGUCCAUCUAUUCCGUCAGUUUUUUGGGCCGCCCGUAUCCGUGGGCACGGCUAGUAUACCAGAUUUAACACUCUGCAGAGGUUGUACAUCUUUACCCAUGAGUCAUGAUUUACCCUUUCGCCCAAGGUAGCUAAUAUCUUAACCUCCUUCCUAGGGAGGUCGGUAGGGAUCACUAUGAAGCCUUUCAAAAGUUCGUCUAACAUGUUAGGGCCGCAAAGUUUCCUUCGUGCGCAGAUAUAGAUACCCCCCUUCCAAAUGGCAUAAUGACGCGCAGCCUAUACACAUAAGGAUAGGGGCUCGCACUAUACCCAAAACGGUUCAGCCCCUCUAGCGUCCUUUCGGGUAACCUCUAACAAGCUAGAAAAGGUCUUCAUACUGAGCUAAAGCCAGAGCCAUAUAACCCUCAUAGUUGUACGAGUUAUCCCAGCUUUUGCCAAGGGAUAAGUCCUUAUGAAGGGUCAAGAUCAAUCCAGCAAAAGCCAGAGUUCUUUCCACCCUUUAUAUUCAAGUUGCUAGAAAGCUUAUUUUAUUGUUUAUUGUAUAUUCAAAUAUUUAUGUUACAAGAUCAUGGAUUAAUAAUCAAGCACUAGCAAGAACUACCCACAUGCAUAUCCAAAUAGGUAACAAGGAAUUCAGGAUAACAAUCAUCUAUGAUUUUGCUAAAGUCAUCAAGGUGGACACAUGCAUAUGAUAUAUGUAUUAAAAGUGUGUAGGUAACAAGGAUGAUCCUAAGUUAUACUUGCCUUGAUCAAAGCUCUCCUGAGCCUGCUGCUGGUCUUCAAAAGAUGGACCUUGAUCACCAACGUAUCAUUCUCUGUCUAUACUCAAUCAUCAAUCAACAACACGCAAUCCAAUGUAGACAUUCAUACACGAAGCAAACAAGCUAUUAUUAGAACAAUACACCAAACAAUGGUAAAACAAAUAUAAAAGUUUAUCAAAAUAUUCUACGCAGCGCUACGAUCACAUAAAUGUAAAGUUCACGAAAAUCAGAAUUAAAACGUAGAAGAUAUGAAUUUUCCAAGAUUUCCUAUUGAUAAAUAAUUAGUUAAAUACUACUGCAAAAUUAAAAAGUUUCAAAACAGAGAACUAAUACUCCUAACAUGUAGAGCUCGUAAUUACGAACCUAACGCACUUUGAAUGGACAAAAAUGGAGUUAAAACGAAUAUUUUAUGAGCAAAACAAAAUCAAUGGCAAUUCUGUAAAUACUGGAAAGCGUAAUUUGAUUCAAACCGACGAAAAUACGCUUUUAGAAAAUGAAAACGUAAACCAGAAAAUACGUAAAGGACGGCGGGUUGAUUCCUCGGACCCUAGGGGUCUCUUUAGCAAAAUAACCCCUGAAGGGGUAUCUUCUGUUCUGGUGCGUCGGAUUUCGAUCGGACGGUUGAAAUUGCGCAGGGGUGAGAUCCGGCCGACUGCCUCGCCGGAACAGGAGCCCGACGCGGCGGCGCCAUGGCCGGAGGAGCCGAGCUCGGCGGCGCUCAUGGUUUCGACGACUCAGAGCCUCCGCGGAAGAAAGAAAUGCACCGGGCGGAAGAGGAGCUUACCCCGAGCUCGCCUAAGCACCUUUCUAAGGCCGAGGACGCGCGUAUGGAGCUCGCGGCGGCGGCGAGAAGAACUUUGCUCGGUGAGAUCCCAAAACGCAAGAAAACGGUGGCUAGGGCACAGUUUGGCAAUUUAGAUGCAAAGAGGAGUUUGCGGCGGUGUUAGGGAGUCUUAUAGGACGCGAUUGAGCAAGAAAGCCCGGGUUCUUCGGGAUUUGGAAGGUGCGGCUUGAGUCCGGGUCAGUGACGGCAUGAGGAAGAUGGGAAAGGGGAGGAAGAGGCGCUGACUGUUGACGGUUCUUAAGUAUCAAUUUUAAUUAUCAAAUAAACAAGAGAAAGGACCAAUAUGCAACCAACACCUAGAAUUAGGGUUUGAUCUGACAGAAUUCCACGAGUUUUGUUGUUUAUCUGUUUCUGCAGGGGGUUAUUAGGAAAUUAGGAAGAAAGGCCCACAUGUCGGGAUUACAUAGAGAUAUCAACGCACCGCACAAUUUUCUACCAUCUAGAAGACUCCAGAAGCCACGAGAAGAAAGCAGAGGCCGAAAGGGGCCAGGCCCAGGGCGCCCGCCCUGAGGACCUGGGCGCCCGUCCCCCUCUGGAUGUCAAUCAGGACUCUUUUCACACACGACGUUCCACCGACCUAAAGGAUCAAGGAUAACGUAGUACCACAUCGCCUACUGGACCAAAAAUGCACAGAGGAGGAGGACUAUAUAAGCAGACCCCUUGGCCUCUGGAGGGACGGAAGUUUAUCAUAGAGUUGAGGGGUGCCCUCGAAGGAAAACCUCUUCUCUAAAUAAAAUUUCUUUUUAGGCUUAGCAACCAAUGUAAGUAGAAAUAGAUCUUCUAGUUUCUACUAGAUUGAGAGAGAUAGAGUGGAGGUGUAGAUCGGAGGAAGCCCGGCCUGUCGGUGUCUACUUCGAGCUUGUACCUGCGGGAUCAAGUUCUCCUAACUCGAGGCUUGCUCCUAGGAUUAUUCAGUAUUUCGACUUCUAAAUUAUAGUAAGUUCUUAUUUUAUUGUUCUUUUGGUUUAUGAGUUUACUUUAAUCUCUUCGCGUAGAGUUUAGAGUAAUCAUCUCUAGCGUAGACGUGGUGUUUAAGCUAGGAUACUCAUAGAUAUUCCCUGACUAGCUAGACCGUGGUAGUAGCGAGGAACGUGACAUUUCCGAGUUACCUUUGUAGACCAUAUCUCGUUAGCAGGAAGGAUAGGGUUUAUAGGUGCGGGUUGAACAUCCUUUCUGGUGUCUAGAUUCCGUUAGCGUCCCCAAUAGAAUAGUAGAUCAUCCUUACCAAGGUUAGAAGGAGAUUACGGUUGUAGUAUUCUCUAUUUAUUACUCACAUCGAGAAACAUUCUUUGUUGCCUAAACGGUUAGUAGUAAUAGACCAGGUUAGUCAGAUGCACUCUUUCUCCUAGUGGUAAAAAUAUAAAUACGAUACUCUGGAUAACAUCCCGGGUGAAGUGCUCACCGAUAUCCGUGCGCUUGCGGAUCAAUUCCUUAUUGCGUUCCCAAAUAUCAACAAUCAUUUCUGGCGCCGUUGCCGGGGAGAAAGACGGUUUGCUGAGAUAACCUUGAGUCUUACUACUAGCUUGUAUCUAUACUUUUAUCUUUUCUUAUCUUUUAUAUUCUUUAUCCAUUUUCUUUACUCUUACCUUAUGGAAAACCAAGAUUCUAAAUCAAUCUACCAAUUUGCAACACCUUCGGAAACUGAUCUUUUACCAUGGGAGUCAUCACAGCCUAUCCAAACAUCCCAGUAUAAGUUAAGUUCUAGGUUGAUUGCCAUGAUUCAAAACCUAUCUUUUUCGGGAAAGGAAGACGAAAACCCUUGCCUUCAUAUUAGAGAUUUUGAGCAAACAUGUGAUUGUCUUUGCAUUGAAGGCAUUUCUGAUAAAACUUUACGUUGGAAGCUUUUUCCUUUUUCUUUAAGUAGAGAAGCUAGACAAUGGUACAGUCAGAAGGUAAGUCAACAACGAGGUGAAUGGGGAGUUUUACGAGCCAACUUUUGUCUAGAUUUUUAUUCCCUCGAUCGUAUCGGCGACCUUAGACUCGAAGUCCUAUCUUUUAAACAAAAAGAUAAUGAAACUUUGGGAAAAUCCUGGAAACGUUUUUCUGAUCUUUUAGAAUCUGGUCCAAACCUUAAUCUUGAAGACCCUGUUCUUUUAUUUCACUUUUUUCGAGGUCUUUAGAAAAAUCACAAACAAAUGCUACACACAAUGUCUAGAGGUUCUUUCUUUCGCAUCCCUACUGAUGAAGCUAGAGUGAUCCUAGAUAGAAUCCUAGAAGCUGAGAUGGAUAAUACCCUUCAUGAUGAAACCUACGAAACCGAAGUAGACACUCUGCCAAAUUCUUCAUCUACUUUAGCUAUCCCAGGUUCUGAGCCACAAGAGGAAGAAAUUCCACCACCGGACUUCAUGCUGGAUAUAGAAUCCGAUUUUUUUGCCGAUUUUGGAAACAUUUCAGACUACCAUUCUAUUGACAAACCCCAAAAUGGCCAGUUUAGCAUUUAUUUGCCAAGUGAAUAUCAAUUGAGAGAGCUUAUCUCAGUCAUGAGUAGCGAAUGGUUGGAGGAGUCAGAGCUUUCCUCUGAUGUGAUCCGUUUGGACACACCCUCUAUAACUAUACGCUGUGUUUAUAAUUCUGAUCGAUUUAAUGCUCUUUGUAAUCCUGUUGUGGGGAUCAACAUCAUGUCUGAAUCUUUUGCACUUAAACUAUUUAAAAAUCUUGUCUUAACCCCCACAACAAAGGUCAUAAUGGAAUCUUCGGGACGAUUAGUCCCCAGUCUUGGAAUUAUUAAUGUCCUACCUCUUACGGUAGAAGGCUCCAUGGUUCAUUUGAACUUCUAUAUCUUUGAUACAUGGGACUUCGACCUGUUGAUAGGACAACCUUUUAGAAGACUCCUUUAUGAAGGUCAUACUGGAAAGCUACACAUUUCUUUUGGAAAAACUUUUAAAAUCCCAAUAACAAUUUCACACUCUCUGAAUAAUAAGGCCGAGUCAUAUCUUUUGCCUGAUCCUAUGGAGGAGGUAAAGGCUGCAUCUCUUGAACUUUUAGAAGAAUCAGACUUAGAAGACGAAACUCCUUUCUUCAUAGAAGAAGAAGUCAAACCUUCUGAACCUGAACCCUUAGAUGAGUUUGCAGAAACACCUAGACCCCCCAUAGAGCUUAAAACUUUACCACCCGGUCUUACCUAUGCUUUCCUAAACAAUAAUCCAGAGUUUCCUCUGAUCAUUAGUGAUAAACUUACUCAGGAUCAAACUCUACGAUUAAUGACCAUUCUUAAGAAACAUCACUCAGUUUUUGGCUACUCACUCCAAGAUCUUACAGGAAUCAGUCCUAUGAUUUGUACCCAUCAUAUUCCAACAGAUCCUUCUGUUACACCUUCUCGAGAGCCCCAACGUAGACUUAACAACACUAUGAGAGAGGUAGUUAACAAGGAAGUUAUAAAGUUGCUGCAUGCAAGGAUUAUAUAUCCUGUGCCGCAUAGUGAGUGGGUGAGCCCAGUUCAAGUUGUGCCUAAAAAGGGAGGCAUGACUGUUAUUAUGAAUGAAAAGAACGAGCUAAUUCCGCAACGCACCGUCACAGGAUGGCGGAUGUGCAUAGACUAUAGAAAACUAAACAAAGCCAUGAGAAAGGAUCACUUUCCUUUACCUUUUAUAGAUGAGAUGCUAGAGCGAUUGCGAACCAUUCGUUCUUCUAUUUCUUAGAUGGAUAUUCAGGGUAUCACCAAAUCCCGAUCCAUCCUGAUGAUCAAAGCAAAACCACUUUUACAUGCCCAUAUGGAACUUAUGCUUACCGAAGAAUGUCUUUUGGGUUAUGUAAUGCACCAGCUUCUUUUCAAAGAUGCAUGAUGUUUAUAUUUUCUGAUAUGAUUGAAGAGAUUAUGGAAGUUUUCAUGGAUGAUUUCUCUGUUUAUGGAAAAACUUUUGAUAGUUGUCUUGAAAACUUAGACAAGGUUUUGCAAAGAUGUGAAGAAAAGCACUUAGUCCUUAAUUGGGAAAAAUGUCAUUUUAUGGUUAGAGAAGGAAUAGUGCUAGGACACCUAGUGUCUGAAAGAGGUAUUGAGGUAGACAAAGCUAAAAUUGAAGUAAUUACACAACUACCUCCACCUGUGAACAUAAAAGGAAUUCGAAGCUUUCUUGGCCAUGCUGGUUUUUAUCGUAGAUUCAUAAAAGAUUUUUCAUUUAUUGCUAGACCACUUACUCUUUUGCUAGCCAAGGAUGCUCCUUUCGAAUUUGAUGAUGCAUGUCUAACAUCUUUUAAUUUAUUAAAGAAAGCACUCAUCUCUGCACCAAUCAUUCAACCCCCUGAUUGGUCGUUGCCUUUUGAAAUUAUGUGUGAUGCUAGUGAUUAUGCUGUGGGGGCAGUUUUGGGACAAACUAAAAAUAAGAAGCAUCAUGCAAUUGCUUACGCCAGUAAAACUUUGACAGGAGCUCAACUUAAUUAUGCAACCACUGAAAAAGAGCUUCUGGCUGUUGUCUUUGCCAUUGAUAAAUUUAGAUCUUAUUUAGUUGGAGCUAAAAUAAUUGUUUACACUGAUCAUGCUGCACUAAAAUAUUUGCUCACUAAAAAAGAUGCUAAACCUCGCUUGAUUAGAUGGAUCUUAUUACUCCAAGAAUUUGACAUAGACAUAAAAGAUAAAAAGGGAGUAGAAAAUUCUGUUGCAGAUCACUUGUCUAGAAUGUAUUUUAAGAGUCCACAGGAAACCCCCAUCAAUGAUUCACUCCGGAACGACAUGCUCUACGGGAUUAACAGGUCUGACCCCUGGUAUGCAGAUAUUGUUAAUUUUAUGGUUUCAGGGUAUGUACCACCAGGAGCAAACAAGAAGAAGCUUAUUCAAGAAAGUCGUUCACAUAUAUGGGAUGAGCCAUACCUCUUCCGUGUAUGCUCUGAUGGCUUACUUAGGAGAUGUGUGACCACUGAGGAAGGAUGGAAGAUCAUCGACAGAUGUCAUUCAUCACCAUAUGGAGGUCAUUAUGGAGCAUUCCGUACACAUUCAAAGAUCUGGCAGUGUGGAUUCUACUGGCCUACAAUGUAUGAAGACACGAAGCAAUAUAUCAGAAGAUGUGGGCCAUGUCAAAGGCACGGAAACAUAAAUACAAUGGAUGCAAUGCCACUCACCAACAACCUUCAGAUUGAGCUCUUUGAUGUCUGGGGAAUAGACUAUAUGGGUCCAUUUCCUCCAUCAAAGAAGUGUGAGUACAUCUUGGUGGCAGUAGACUACGUCUCCAAGUGGGUAGAGGCAUUACCUUGCAAGCAUGCCGACAACAUCAGUUCAAAGAGGAUGUUUGAAGAAAUUAUAUUUCCAAGAUUCGGAGUCCCCGGAGUAGUGAUAAGUGAUGGAGGAGCACACUUCAUCGAUAAACGCUUCAAGCAAUAUCUAUCAAAACAUGGAAUCCGUCACAACGUCGCUACCCCCUAUCAUGCCCAGACAAGUGGCCAAGCAGAGACUUCCAACAAACAAAUCAAGAAUAUUCUUCAGAAGACAGUAAAUGAAAUGGGAACGGCGUGGAAAGACAAGUUACCCGAUGCACUCUGGGCAUACCGAACAGCAUACAAGACCCCAAUUGGAAUGUCUCCAUACCAAUUAGUGUACGGGAAGACUUGCCACCUACCUGUUGAACUAGAGUUCAAAGCACACUGGUCCAUAAAGAGAUGGAAUAUGGACCUAGAUGUUGCUGGAGAUCAUAGAAGAAUGCAACUAUCAGAAUUGGAAGAAUGGCGAGAGAAAGCAUAUCACAAUUCAAAGAUCUACAAAGAAAGAGUCAAAAGGUGGCAUGACAAGAGAAUCAAGAAGAAGGAGUUCACACCCGGAGAUAAGGUAUUACUUUUUAAUUCCAGGGUGAGGCUCUUCGGGCAUGGAAAACUCCGGAGCAAAUGGGAAGGACCAUUCAAGGUAAUUAAUUCAUCAUCCCACGGAGCUAUCACACUUCAAAAUGACAAAGGUACGUUAUUCAAGGUAAAUGGUCAACGUCUUAAAUUAUUUUUAGAGCCCAAUAAAGAAUUAGAAGAAAUAGACGUAGUCCAUUUUUACCUUCCCAUGGAGAAUUAGAGCCCGACCUUUUUAAUCUGAUGUUUAUGGGCCAUAUAUAUUUUUCUAAAUAAUUUUGCAUCUAGAACCACGCUCGAGAAAGUGGGCCCACAGAGGGGCCAGAGAGAGGGCGGGCACCCAGAUCAGGUGGGCGGCCGCCCAGCUCCUGUUCCCCCUCAGUCCCGAUUUUCUCUGUUAUGGAAAAUACACUUAUGGUAAUCCGAAUAAUCCCUCAGAUGGAAAGUUUCGCACGCACAUCGAUGGGAGCAACCCGAACAACCCCUAGAGGCACUUUUUGACCCCUAUAUAAACAGACCCCCGACAUCAGUUUUCAAACACCAAACCACCAAGCCUUCUCUUCUUCUUCUUCAAUUAUAGCUUGAUUAGUUCCUUGCUGCUCCAAUGGCCAAGAAGUUCCAUGAUGAUUGGGAAGUCGUCCCCUUCAACCUCAACAUGGAGCCUGCGGAAGACCCCGACGCCCGUGCUCUCGUCCCGGCCAACACAGAGCGACAGCUAGAAGCCAUGCCAUUACGCCAACGCAGCUCCGCCCAAUCCUACCAUGCUCAACCAGUUCUCACCGCACCGCCACAACCCCUACUCCUCAAGGGAUCAUCAUCCAAGACGAAGACCACCAUCAAGGUGCCAACCGACACGAGGAUCCUUCCACCUAGACCCAAUGAGAGGGUCGUUGGAGUCAAGACCAACCGGAGCGGCGAGAUCAGCAGCAUACGCUACACUACGGAGGAGGAAAGACCUUAUUUCGAAGGGAUUAGAGCAGCCAAAGUCCGUUUCAUCCCUCCAAAGGCAGCCCCGAAGCACGCUCUCAAUGCUUUUGAGACACCUCCCAAGCGUCGCAAGACUAUAGUAGAUAUUGAUGAGGACGUUCGCAGGCUAGACAAAGUUAUCAUAGACCUCCAGUCCUCGAUUAAUUCCCUCACUAGGCAGCUCUCUAACCACAACACCGUUAUACUAGACCUUAGGCAUGAUCUUGCUAGUGCCAAUAAGAAGAUUAAGGAAUUAGAGCGCCGCUAAGUUAUCUAGAUUAGACCUUGAGGCAAUGCAUCUUAGUUAUCAAUCUUUAAAUUCGGUUUAGGUUUACUAUUAUUGUCAGUUUAUCAUCAGUUUGCUACUAUCGUCAGUUUGCUGAUAGUUAUUUGUAAUAAAUGCCUCAAGAUUAAUAAAGAGUAUUAUUAUUAUUAUUAUUAUUAUUAUUAUUAUUAUUAUUAUUAUUAUUAUUAUUAUUAUUAUUAUUAUUAUUAUUAUUAUUAUUAUUAUUAUUAUUAUUAUUAUUAUUAUUAUGUUUUGUGUGUCUCUAUUUUAUUUUUUGUGCAAGAAAGCAGAAACAAGUAUAGGGGGAGAUCCCUCGACAUGCCAAACACAACUUCGACUACACCACUCCACGAGUCAGGUACACACUCUGCACACUUUACUUUACACAUACACAUAUCUUGGAUUAUGCAGAAUACUGUUUCCGACAUGAUAAAUUAAAAAGAUUAAAAUAUUUCUAAUCAUGAUUAAACUCACUCUGUGAUAUUUUCUGAAACAUGCAAUUAUUGAAAAUCAUUUUAAAACCCUGUGUUACUUAAGACAGUAUGGAAUGUGAGAUGGUAGAGUAUGAGUUUCUUAUUCUUAAUAUCAUUGUUGCUUGGAGAAUUUAUUUCAAAAUCUUCAAAAUUCUAGCUACCAUCCUCAGUGUUUUAUAUGCCUAAUAAAACUGAAAAUAUUAAUUAUGAUUAUAAAAGCUAUCUACUGUAUUGAGUUUGUUCAAAAUAAGUUAGACCCUUGUUGAGAGAUUUAUCAUGCUCCUAAGAUAAAGACAUUUAUUCAGAAAGAUUCACUCUUCCGAAGUAUUAUUGCAUUAGAGGCAUGGGCUAUGCAAAAAUAAAGAUAUCUCGAGGAAAUAAAAAGGAGCAAGUGCUCGACAACCUCGCAGAAAAAAUGGACAAGUGUCCGGCAGUAGAAUUAGGGGUACCUCGGUAUCCACUUAAAAAAAAGAAAAAAAAAAGAAAAAUGAUAGCCCAUGGUCCCUCUAAUAAGCAAUAUGCCAGCAAGAGUUGACAAAGAUUUUAAUUUCCAAAUUCUUUGAUCUAAGAGUAUGACAUUCCCCUCCUCGGAUCCCGUUUUGAUCAGGCAAUAAAUACAAAGGUAAGUAUGCUUGAGAAUUUUUGCAAUUUAAAACAACCUCAGUGAGAUAUGUAAAAGAUAAUGAGUGAUCUGAGAGAACCUAUGAAGAUAAAAGGUAUGCUAACUUUCUUUUCAAAAAUAUACAAAAACUCCAAGUAACAGGAUUGAGAAGAAAGGAUCUUUACUCUUAACCAUAUACUUCCCUGACUAUAGUACACGGUGGAUUUUAACACCCUGCAGUUAUGAAAAGAAUGUUUUACCCCAGAUAUUGUUCUUAACCAUCCUUUUCUCGAGGACGAGUAAAAGCCUAAGUAUGGGGGUAUUUGUUGACGGUUCUUAAGUAUCAAUUUUAAUUAUCAAAUAAACAAGAGAAAGGACCAAUAUGCAACCAACACCUAGAAUUAGGGUUUGAUCUGACAGAAUUCCACGAGUUUUGUUGUUUAUCUGUUUCUGCAGGGGGUUAUCAGGAAAUUAGGAAGAAAGGCCCACAUGUCGGGAUUACAUAGAGAUAUCAACGCACCGCGCAAUUUUCUACCAUCUAGAAGACUCCAGAAGCCACGGGAAGAAAGCAGAGGCCGAAAGGGGCCAGGCCCAGGGCGCCCGCCCUGAGGACCUGGGCGCUCGCCCCCCUCUGGAUGUCAAUCAGGACUCUUUUCGCACAUGACGUUCCACCGACCUAAAGGAUCAAGGAUAACGUAGUACCACAUCGCCUACUGGACCAAGAAUGCACAGAGGAGGAGGACUAUAUAAGCAGACCCCCUGGCCCCUGGAGGGACGGAAGUUUAUCAUAGAGUUGAGGGGUGCCCUCGAAGGAAAACCUCUUCUCUAAAUAAAAUUUCUUUUUAAGCUUAGCAACCAAUGUAAGUAGAAAUAGAUCUUCUAGUUUCUACUAGAUUGAGAGAGAUAGAGUGGAGGUGUAGAUCGGAGGAAGCCCGGCCUCUCGGAGUCUACUCCGAGCUUGUACCUAUAGGAUCAAGUUCUCCUAACCCGAGGCUUGCUCCUAGGAUUCUUCAGUAUUUCGACUUCUAAAUUCUAGUAAGUUCUUGUUUUAUUGUUCUUUUGAUUUAUGAGUUUACUUUAAUCUCUUCGCGUAGUGUUUAGAGUAAUCAUUGCUGGCGUAAACGUGGUGUUUAGGCUAGGGUACUCAUAGAUAUUCCCUGACUAGCUAGAUCGUGGUAGUAGUGAGGAACGUGACAAUUCCGACUUACCUUUGCAGACCAUAUCUCGUUAGCAGGAAGGAUAGGGUUUAUAGGUGCGGGUUGAACAUCCUUUGUGGUGUCUAGAUUCUGUUAGCCUCCCCAAUAGAACAGUAGAUCAUCCUUACCAAGGUUAGAAGGAGAUUACGGUUGCAGUCUUCUCUAUUUAUCACUCACAUCGAGAAACAUUCUUUGUUGCCUAAAGGGUUAGUAGUAAUAGACCAGGUUAGUCAGAUGCACUCUUUCUCCUAGUGGUAAAAAUAUAAAUACGAUACUCUGGAUAACAUCCCGGGUGAAGUGCUCACCGAUAUCCAUGCGCUUGCGGAUCAAUUCCUUAUUGCGUUCCUAAAUAUGAACACUGACUCGUGGGGCCCGGCUGUCAGCCACCGAACGGGGAGAGGCGCACGGCUGUCUGGCCACUGGGCCGCUCACGGGCCGAGAGAGGGAAUAGGCCGAACGAGGGGGAGAAAAGGGGGAAGGGUGCUGGGCUGCGGGGAAGCUGGUUGGGCUGAGCGCGGGGGAGAGGAAAAGCUGGGCUGCAGCCUUGCGGCCAGCUCCCAGGGGUUUCUCCCCUUUAACCUUUUAUUUUUAUUUUCUUUUUCAAAAACAUUUUCCAACUAGAAUUCUGUGCACAAAUUAUUUCUAUCCAAAAGCAAAGCAAGCAAAACAUAAAAUAUGCUCCAGCAUGAAUGCAUAACCAUGUUUCUAAUCCUAGGAUGAAUUUUAAUCACCAUAAAAUUAUUUAUUUGCUAGAUUCAAAAUGCUCACCAAAAAUACUUAAAUAAAUCAAUUUAAUUCCUGUUAAUUGAAAUCAAAUUUUUGGGUGUUACAAACUCUACCCUCCUUUAAAAGAAUCUCGUCCUUGAGAUUGAACGGUGCUUACUCAAACAAAUACGAAUACGAUUUCCUUAGAUCAUCCUCUCUUUCCCAAGUUGCCUCUACUUCGGAAUACCGAUUCCACUACACUUUGCACAUUCUAAUUACCCGACUUUUGGUGACUCUCUCAGCUGUCUCCAAUAUUCUGAUCGGAUAAUCUUCAUAAGUGAGAUCACCUUUAACAGAAAGCUCUUCCAAUGGUAUUUGCUCCUCAGGUAUACGCAAACACUUCUUAAGUUGUGACACAUGGAACACAUCAUGCACACCAGAUAAACUUUCAGGCAACUCUAACUGAUACGCUACUUCUCCACACCUUUGCAAAAAUUUAAACGGACCGACAUACCUUGGAGCUAGCUUUCCUUUCAUAUUAAACCUCUUCACACUCCGCAUAGGUGACACUUUCAGAUAGACAUAAUCACCUUCCUCGAAAGCUAGUUCUCUCCUUCGUGUAUCUGCAUAACUUUUCUGACGAGACUGAGCAACUCUCAGAUUAUCCCGGAUAGUCUGCACUUGUUGUUCUGCAUUUCUAAGCACAUCCAUACCAAACACCUGAGUCUCCCCAGUUUGAUUCCAAAACAAAGGUGUUCUACACUUACGACCAUAUAAUGCUUCAAACGGUGCCAUUUUAAGACUUAGCUGAUAACUAUUGUUGUAGGAAAACUCUGCAUAUGGCAAACUCUUAUCCCAACUGGUUCCAUACUGCAAAGCACAAGCUCUUAACAUAUCCUCCAGUAUUUGAUUGAUCCUCUCAGUCUGUCCAUCUGUCUGUGGAUGAUAUGCUGUACUAAAAUUCAACUUUGUCCCUAAGGAAUCAUGCACUGCUUUCCAAAAAGUAGAGGUAAACUGAGUGCCUCUAUCAGAUACAAUCUUCUUAGGCACUCCAUGCAAACAAACUAUCCGCUCCAUAUACAACUCUGCUAGUCGAGCUCCUGAAUCAGUGGUUUUGACUAGCAAGAAGUGAGCAACUUUAGUCAAUUGAUCCACUAUUACCCAUAUUGAAUCAUAUCCUCUUUGUGUACGUGGUAAACCUACUAUAAAAUCCAUACCCACUUCUUCCCACUUCCAUUCUGGAAUCUUCAUUGGUUGCAACAAUCUAGCUGGCCUCUGAUGUUCAGCUUUCACUCGCUGACAAGUAUCGCACAAAGCAACAUACUCAGCUACAUCUCUUUUUAAUCCAUACCACCAAUACUUCAGUUUUAGAUCUAGAUACAUCUUGGUACUACCAGGAUGAAUGGAAUAUGCUGACUCAUGAGCCUCUCUUAGAAUCAUAUCACGAAUAGCCUUCACUUCAGGAACACAUAUCCUUUUUCCAAACCACAGUACACCAUUGUCAUCUGUUCUGAAUCCUGGUGCUUUGCCUAGUACCACAUUCUGUGCUAUCUCCUUUAGCUUCUCAUCCUCCAAUUGUCCUUUCAAUAUCUCUUCCUCUAAAGUAGGAGUGACCUCAAUUUCCAUAGCAUUCACUACAAUUCCCAAGUUCAAAUAUGCAAAUUCAGCACACAACUCCUCAGAUUCAGGUGUCGCCCGAAGCUCAUUAGCAUAUUUCUUUCUGGUAAGUGCAUCAGCCACGACGUUCACCUUUCUAGGAUGAUAAUGCACUUCCAAAUCAUAAUCCUUUAUCAGUUCCAACCAUCUUCGUUGCCUCAAGUUCAGAUCUGUCUGGGUGAAGAUAUACUUUAGACUCUUAUGAUCAGUAUAUAUGUCACUCUUAUGCCCAAUCAAAUAGUGUCUCCAAAUCUUCAAUGCAUGGACCACAGCUGCUAACUCUAGAUCAUGAGUAGGAUAAUUCAGUUCAUGUUUCCUCAACUGUCUAGAUGCAUAAGCAACAACUCUACCUUCUUGCAUAAGAACACAACCCAAACCCAGACGAGAAGCAUCACAAUAGAUAGAGAAACUCUUACUCAGAUCUGGCAAUACCAACAUAGGUGCAGUAGUCAAUCUCUUCUUAAACUCCUCAAAACUAGCUUGACACUUGUUAGACCAUACAAACUUAGCAUUCUUCUCCAACAGAGCAGUCAUAGGCUUUGCAAGUUUUGAGAACCCUUCAAUGAAUCUACGAUAGUAACCAGCUAAACCAAAAAAACUUUGAAUUUCACUUACAUGUGUAGGUGGUUUCCAAUUCAGCACAUCUUUCACCUUACUAGGAUCCACUGCAAUACCACCAUUAGAGACAAUAUGACCAAGAAAAGAAACUUCUUCCAACCAAAACUCACAUUUACUACGCUUAGCAUAUAGCUUAUGUUCUCUCAGUUUCUGUAAGACUAACCAGCAUGUUCUUCCUUGGUUUUAGAGAAUACCAGAAUAUCAUCAAUAAAGACCACCACAAACUUAUCAAGAUACUCCAUAAAUACUUUAUUCAUCAUGUACAUAAAGUAAGCUGGUGCAUUGGUCAAACCAAAAGACAUAACUGUAUACUCAUACAACCCAUACCUUGUCGUGAAAGCUGUCUUUGGUAUAUCUGAAUUCCGAAUCUUCAAUUGAUGUUAACCAGAACGCAAAUCAAUCUUAGAGAACACACAAGCACCUCUUAGCUGAUCAAACAAGUCAUCAAUCCUAGGCAAGGGAUAUUUGUUCUUGAUAGUGACCUCAUUAAGUGACCGAUAAUCAACACACAUCCUCUGAUUACCAUCCUUCUUAUCAACAGAGAUAACUGGUGCACCCCAUGGUGAUGAACUAGGACGAAUGAACCCUUUAUCUUGCAAUUCCUUAAUUUGUUUCUUAAGUUCUUCUAGUUCAUUAACCCCCAUUAUAUAUGGUCUUUUAGCUAUGAGUGCAGUACCAGGUAGUAAUUCAAUAAUAAAUUCAAUGUCUCGGUCAGGUGGCAUACCUGGCAAUUCAUCUGGAAAGACAUCCGGAAACUCAUCCACUACUAGACUCUGAGGAUCAACAUCAUCGUUCAGUUGGUUCACUUUAGCUGUGAGUGGUGCUUGCACUGUUACAUCAACACUGAUUCGUUCUCCCUUUGGUGUUGUCAGAGCCACUACUCUCUCUUUGCACUUAAUAUCUAUCUCAUAUUGUUUCAUCCAAUCCAAACCCAAGAUCACAUCUAUGCCUGAAGUUCUCAUAACCAUGGGACUGAUAGGAAAAUCUACCCCCUUAAAGAAAGACUCGCUGAGGGGCAACAAUAAGAAACUGGUAUAGUCCGACCUGGUGAAUUUACUAGCAUAGAGGUUUUCAUGGCAACUACUAGAAUUCUAUGAACUCUAACAAAUGCUUGUGAAAUGAAUGUAUGCGAAGCUCCAGAAUCAAAUAAAACUAUAGCAGGGAUAGAGUUGAUGGUGAACGUACCCAUCAUAAUCUCUGGUCCCUCCUGAACUGUCUCUGUAGCCACAUUAUUCACUAUUGCCGCAUAAGCAGUAGACUUCUGGUUGCUGUUCGGCUUGUUGAGCUUCUCCAGGCAAUCAUAUGACAUAUGUCCCUCCUACCCACAAUGGAAACACCUUAUAGGAGUCUUAGAAGCACUUCUUUUCAUAGAGGUGGCAUUUGAGUUCCCUGAGCGGGGUGUCUGCUGUCCAUUCUACUGUUGGUUAUGAUUACGCUGCUGGAAUGGAGGACGCUGAUUCCCACCUUGUGAUUGAUUCCGGAAACGCUGAGGUUGUUGGUUGCGGUUCAACUGGCUAACUAGUCCCUGGAACCUUUGUUGAUGGCCUUGUUGAGAACUGAAACGCUGACGGUUGUUGCUCCCAGAACCUUGUGCCAGCAUCCUUCUCUUCUUAUCCUACCCCUUGCGCAUGUUGUCCAACACUAUAGCCCGAUUCACCAGAGCUUGGAAGGUAGGAUAAGAGUUUCCUGCCAGUUGCAACCUGAGUUCAUAGUAUAGGCCUUUCAUGAACAAGCGCUACUUAUCAGCAUCUUCUCUGACUUCAUUUGGAGCAUAGCGGGCCAACUGUUCAAAUGUGUCAUGAUAUUCUACCACAGUCAUGGAGCCCAUCCUGAGAGAUCUGAAUUCUUCUUGCUUGAGCUCCAUCAUUCCCUCAUUUAUAUGCUGAGCUCUGAAGUCUCUACAAAAUUCCAGCCAUGUGACAGGAGGAGCAUUGUUGGGACGAGUAGCUUGAUAUGACUCCCACCAUAUCUGAGCUGCCCCCUGAAGCUGUCCAGAAGUAUACAACACCUUCUCCAAGUCAUUGCACUAUGCUAUGUUCAGUUGCCUCUCCACAGCACGUAACCAAUCAUCUGCCUCUAUAGGAUCAGCUGAGUGUGUAAAUACCUGAGGUCUUCCCUUCAUAAACUCCCCACGCUUAUCUCUCACAUGAACAGGUGGCGGUGGUGGUGGAGGUUGCUGCUGUAGGUGCUGCAUGAAAACGUGCAUCAUCUCAUUCUGAGUUUGCAUGAGCUCUUCCACAGUAAUUGGAUCAUUGGCACCCAUGCCACGGCCUCUGCUUCUGCCUCUUCCUCGUGCUGCCAUCUACAUUCCGAGGUAUAUAAACAUAUCUCAGUAAUAUCCAACAUGAUAAAUACAAGAGAUCGUUGAAUCUGAAUUUUUCUGGACGACAUCCAACAUUAGCAGUCCAGAAAGUCAGUCAUAUCUCAAGUUCCAGAAUUCAAAAUGAUACAUUCUGUACACCGUUGAAAAGAUAAAGAAAUUAUCUACAACUUUCAUUUAGACCAUAUUAACAGAUUCCAUCAUUAAAUUAACCAAAACUGGGCACAACCGAAACUGUUCCAGAAUUCCAGACUGCACAGAACCUCAAAUUUAAACUGCCAUAACUCACGGCUCAUAACAGAUAAUAAUGUCAUUCUUGAGGCAUUGGAAAGAUAUGAAAGUCUACUUGUUCCCAGAAAAAUAUGAUGAACUUUUCACAAACAGAAUUUGAGAUGUACUAGAUUUGUUACAGACUGCUCCAGAAAACAGCAAAAGAUAGAAACAGAAUUUUAACCAAACCCAACUAUUUAGUUCAUUAAUCCUUAUGCCUUAAGCCUAUAACUAAAUGAAAUUGUAGAGAAAAUCCACUAGAUGAUUACACUCAUUACAAAGAUCUAAAUCAAGCAUAAGCAUAAUAACAACCAAACCAAGCAUCAAAAGUUCACACUUCAAGCAUUGACUUAACUUGCGGUACUAUCGUUCUCUUCUUGUUAAGGGUAAAGAUCCUAUAACUCCUAUUUCAAAGACGCUAGAAGGUGGUGAGAAAAAUUUCUAAUAGCAUAUCAAGCAAGGAGUGAGGAUGAGAACAAGUCUUUAAAAUAAGCAUCAAGGUGAAGAUGAAUAGCAAUGAAAAGGAUAUAGUAUAGGAGAAAAUAUCAAGGUUUAUUGAACAAGGAUUUUAUAGCAAUUUUAAAACCUUAAGACGGCCAAUUUCUAACUAGGCUUACGUCCGAUAGUCAACAAAGCUCUGAUACCAAUCUAUCACACCCAUAUUUUAAGAACAAAAUAGGAUGCAUAAAAGACUCAUAUGUGCCCCAGAAACAGUCGCACACAUAAGUAGACAAAUCUCAAAUGUACCAUUGCAGUGUUUAUUACAUAGCAGAACAAUAAUAAAUCACAUAGUCUUAUACAAGAAUGAUAAUAAGAUUAAACAGUGCCCUCGAUGGAAGCACCACACAGAGACACUGUUGACUGGUUGACUCCAAGCCUAAUACUCAUAACGGUAGUCCUCAUUCCAAUCAUCAUCAUUAGCAUAACCUGGGAUGUUGGGAAAUUGCAAGAGUGAGCACAUAUCGUACUCAACAAGUAUAACCAGGGGUUCAUGAGGCUCAAAUAGCUGACACUGGUUUGACUGCAUUUAGCUUUUAUAUGUAGAUAGCAUGUUUAUAUUUAGAUAGCCAAUAUCAAGGUAGCAUAGUAAAUCUCACAACCACAUGAUCAAUGUAUACAAGAAUAAAGAAUAACACAUAUAAACAACAUAAUAAAUCAUCAUUUAUCAUCAUUAAUCAUAUUCAUCAGUGUCCAUCUAUUCCGUCAGUUUUCCGGGCCGCCUGUAUCCGUGGGCACGACUAGUAUACUAGAUUUAACACUCUGCAAAGGUUGUACAUCUUUACCCAUGAGUCAUGAUUUACCCUUUCGCCCGAGGUAGCUAAUCUCUUAACCCCCUUCAUAGGGAUGUCGGCAGGGAUCACUAUGAAGCCUUUCAAAAGUUCGUCUAACAUGUUAGGGCCGCAAGGUUUCCUUCGCGCGCAGAUAUAGGUACCCCCCUUCCAAAUGGCACAAUGACGCGUAGCCUAUACACAUAAGCACAGGGGCUCGCACUAUACCCGAAACGGUUCACACUACUACAGAAUGAGGCAUUGGUCGAUGCCCAAAAUGGCCAAAAACCUCGGCCUUUUUGCGGCCCGGGGUUAAAGGCCCCUUUAACACCGGUUCGUAACACGAACCGGUGCUAAAGGGUCCUACCCAACGGCUACUGACGGGUGCUGUCAGGGCAGGGACCCUUGAGCACCGGUUCGUGUUACCAACCGGUGCUAAAGGGUCCCCUUUAGCACCGGCCAGUGCCACGGGCCGAGGCAAAGCCUUUAGCACCGGUUUCAAACACAAACCGGUGCUAAAGGGCGACCCUUUAGCACCGUUUUUUUCCCUCAACCGGUUCUAAAGCUCUGUUUUAUAUGCCUGCCUUCUCCUCCCCUCUGCCCAUUUGAAACCGAGAGCACCAUUGUUGUUCUUGGAGCUUCUUCUUCCUUGUUCUUCAUUUGUUCUUCAUCUCUGACGCCCAUCGUUGAUCUUCUUCGACUCCGUCAUCGUUUCUUCGUGCUUGGAGGUGACUAACUUUUGUCUUUCUUGUCUUUUUCAUGUUGUUUUUGGCUUGUGAUGUUCCCAUUAUUUUUAGCUCAAAUCCACUUUGUUAUUUUGAAUCAUUCAUAUGAAUUAGUAUCCAUAUAUAUAUAUCAUAUUUCAUGGUUGACCUAGUAUUAAUGUAGUUUGCAAGAAUGAAUUAUAGUAUCUUUUAUGAUCUUAGAAAGUAGGAUAGUUCAAAUUAAUUGGUUUGUUAAUAUCACUUGAUUUAUUUUUAUUACUACAUAAUGUCCAUUGUAUAAUUUAGAAGAUUUGUUGAAGUAACUAGACAAAUAAAGGAUAUUAUUAGGUUCUUCUUUAAUCAUACAUGUUUACUAGUAAAUGUGAAAUUUAUAAUUGUUUAAAAAUUGAGUAUGGAUAGUAGAUGGCAACCGUGACCGGGUCUUCGGUCUCUCAACGGGUUCAAAUGCGAUACCGGCCGGAACUCCCUCUCAUUACUUGUGGCAAGUGUGGGCAGAAGAUUGUGAUGGAGUACAAAGUGUCGAAAGAGGGAGUAAAUAAGGGUCGUAUAUUCUACAAGUGUCCAGAUCGUAAUGUGAGUUAUUUCCAGACAUUUGCUUAUAUAUGUGCAUAUUUUUUUAAAUGAUAUUAAUUAAACUUUUGAUUCUCUCUUUUAAUUUCAGUGGGACGGUACCGGCGGAUGUACGGGUUGGUACUGGGAGGAAGAAUACAUUGAACACAUUAAGAAAUCUUUUGCAUAGGUGGUUGAGGCUGAAGGUGGUGAGGCAGUGAGCCGACGAAAGGAGUUCAAUGAUUUUGAUCAAGCGAAUGAUCUAUCUAAUAGUUGGGAUCGGACGCGAAAUAAUUAUGUUGCUUAAGUGCAUUUUAGUUUUGGUUUUUUUAGUGCUAGUUGCGAUUGUAUUUGUUGUAGCCAAGCUUUCCUGAAUUAAUCAACUAUGUAUCUUAGACAUGUUGUGCAAUAAGAUGAGAAACUAUAUGUGUGCAUGGUUUUCAUAAUAUAUAUGUUAUAUUUAAUGCAGAUGGUAACACGUAAUUGGAUGUAUAAUGCCGAUCGGUGCUCCGAAGAGUUCAUUAAUGGCGUGCACUAUUUCUUAAGUGUGACUGAGACAAAUAAGAGGGACGGUUUCAUGUGCUGUCCAUGUGCCGUGUGCAAGAAUUUGACGGAAUAUUCUAACUCAAGAACUCUUCAUUCACACUUAUUAAAGUCUGGUUUCGUACCAAACUAUAUUUGUUGGACCAAACAUGGAGAAAGCGGGAUUAUAAUGGAUGAAGGUGAAGAAGAAGAAGAAGAAUUGGACCAUGCCAAUAUUAUUGCUCAGUACGGUGGCUUCAAUGAUGUUGCAAUGGGGGGAGAUAAUGAAGAAGAGGUAGCGGCAGAAGAUGAUCGGGGCGAUGAUGCUUUUGGUGAUGCCAUCCGUGAUGCACAAAGAGAAUGUGAAAGUGAUAAAGAGAAAGCCAAGUUCGAGCGCAUGCUAGAGGACCACAGGAAAUCGCUAUAUCCCACCGCUGAAGAGGGGCAAAAAAAGCUGGGUACCACACUAGAAUUACUGCGAUGGAAGGCAAACAAUGGUACAUCUGACAAGGCAUUUGGGCAGUUAUUGAAGAUCAUAAAAAAGAUGCUUCCAAAAGGCAACGAAUUGCCCACCACUACGUAUGAAGCAAAACAGGUUGUCUGCCCUUUGGGAUUAGAAAUCCAGAAGAUACACGCAUGUUCUAAUGACUGCAUCCUCUACCGUGGGGAGGAAUACAAGAAUUUGGAUGUAUGUCCAGUAUGUAAAGCAUCACGGUAUAAGAUUAGACGAGAUGAUCCUGGCGAUGUUGAGGGUGAAGAACGUCAUAGGAAGAAAAUUCCUGCCAAGGUUAUGUGGUAUGCUCCUAUAAUACCACGAUUAAAACGUCUGUUCAGAAAUAAGGACAAUGCAAAGUUGUUGCGGUGGCAUAAAGAAGACCGUAAGAUAGACAAUAUGCUGAGACACCCUGCCGAUGGAUCCCAGUGGAGAGCGAUAGACAGAGAAUUCCUAGAUUUUGCAGAUGAUGCUAGAAACUUGUGGUUCGCCUUAAGUACAGAUGGUAUGAAUCCUUUCGAUGAGCAGAGCAGUAGUCACAACACUUGGCCAGUUACUCUAUGUAUCUACAACCUUUCUCCAUGGCUAUGCAUGAAGCAGAAGUUUAUUAUGAUGUCGGUGCUUAUCCAAGGACCGAAGCAACCUGGCAAUGACAUAGAUGUCUACCUAAGGCCAUUAGUUGAGGAACUUCAACUUUUAUGGAGCAAACCAGGAGUUCGCGUGUGGGAUGAGUACAAACAAGAGCACUUUGACCUGCGAGCAUUGCUGUUUGUAACAAUCAAUGAUUGGCCAGCUCUGAGUAAUCUUUCAGGCCAGUCAAACAAGGGAUAUAAUGCAUGCACACAUUGUUAUGAAGACCUUGACUGUGUAUUUUUGAAAAAAUAUCGAAAGGUCGUGUACCUUGGCCACCGUCGGUUUCUUCCUGUGAACCACCCAGUACGAAAGAAAGGCAAGCAUUUUAAAGGCAAGGCAGACCACCGGACCAAACCUCUCAAUCGAACCGGGGAUGAUGUACUCGAAAUGGUCAAGGAUAUAAAAGUGGUAUUUGGAAAGGGACGAGGCAGCGAACCUAUUGCCAAGGAUGCUAAGGGACACGUACCCAUGUGGAAGAAGAAAUCCAUAUUUUGGGAGCUACCUUACUAGAAUGUCCUGGAGGUCCGCAACGCCCGACGUGAUGCAUCUGACAAAGAAUCUUUGUGUGAACUUGCUCGGAUUCAUGGGUGUCUACGGGAAGUCUAAGGAUUCACUUGAAGCACGACAAGACUUGCAGCGCAUGAAAGAACGAGACAACCUGCAUCUAGAAAAGACAGAUGAUGGACGUCAUUACUUAAGCCCUGCUAGCUACACUCUGAGCAAAGAAGAGAAGGAAAGCAUGUUUGAAUGUCUUAGUAGCAUCAAGGUCCCAUCUGGAUUCUCCUCCAAAAUCAAGGGAAUAAUUAAUGUGCCAGAGAAGAAAUUCCUGAACUUGAAGUCCCAUGACUGUCACGUUCUAAUGACGCAAUUGCUGCCAGUGGUUUUAAGAGGAAUUUUACCUCCACACGUACGUCUGGCCACCGUAAAGCUAUGUGCAUUCCUCAAUGCAAUUUCUCAGAAGGCAAUCAAUCCAGAGCAACUAGCUACUCUGCAAAAUGGUGUCGUUCAAUGUCUCGUCAGCUUUGAGUUGGUGUUCCCUCCAUCCUUCUUCGAUAUCAUGACACACCUCCUAGUUCAUCUGAUAAAAGAGAUUCGUAUUCUCGGUCCUAUGUUCCUACACAACAUGUUCCCCUUCGAGAGAUUCAUGGGUGUCCUAAAGAAAUAUGUGUAUAGUCGUUCCCGGCCAGAAGGAAGCAUUGCCAAGGGCUACGGAACAGAGGAGGUCAUAGAGUUCUGUGUUGACUUUAUUCCAGACCAUGACCCAAUUGGCAUUCCUGAAUCUUGACACGAGGGCAGACUCAGAGGAAAGGGAACACUUGGGAAGAAAACAUAUAUUGGUAGGGAGACGAUUACUUCAAUAAAGCACACUACACAGUUCUCCAGAACUCCUCAUUGGUGGAACCAUAUGUUGAGGUACACAAAGAUUUCCUACGGUCCCAGUGGCCCGGGAAGAAUGAAGCUUGGAUAAUGCGUCAGCACAUGGAAACUUUUGGCGAUUGGUUGCGCAAAAAAUGUCAAGGUGAUGAAAACAUUGAUGAGCAGCUUUAUUUGUUGGCCAGGCAACCAUGAUGGCAUGUCCUCACGUACAAAGGGUACGAGAUAAAUGGUAACACAUUUUACACAGUUGGCCAAGAUAAAAGGAGCACCAACCAAAAUAGUGGUGUACGCGUGGAUGCCACGGAUCCAAAUGGGAACAGACAAACAUAUUAUGGACGCAUAGAAGACAUAUGGGAACUAGUCUAUGCAGCUAAUUUUAAAGUUUCUUUGUUCCGGUGCCAAUGGGUGAAGCCAAGAAGAAUCUAGGUCGGGAGCAGGGGUUGGUGGAUGGUUAGUCCAAGACGCGGAACAACAGAGUUUUCUAGCGUAUUAUUAUACCGUCGUCGCCUUUGAAUUCUUUAUGUGUACGUACAAUUACAGCUCGAAUUACUUCGGAUCUUUCUAGAGGCAUUUGGGGCACUGCGCGGAGUUGAGUUCGGAAGAAUCCUAGUUUCUUUUUUUUAUGGAACACGCGCUUGCUAACUGACUAUUUUCAAGCCCGUCUCCAGAGGAUCCUCCUCGAGUUCUACCGGGCCCCGGUGAACGGCGGUCGCACGAAAGGCCUAGGCCUUUGAUUAGGACAUUGCACAAUGAUCCAAACACUUUGUCGCAUCUCUUCGAUACGAAUACAGUAACGAUCAUAGCGAUCCCCUCUGGUACCCCUGUGAAGCUUAACAGACAAAGAAAACGAUAGAGACUUCCGGGUAUAGGGUGACGAGCCUGACGGAGCAAUGCCGCGUGGAGGUGGAAGGCCUACGGGUCGUCAACUUCUUUUCUCGGAGAAGAAACAAUGACAGUGGAAACGGCGAACAAUUGCUGUAAUAUAUAGUAUAGAUACCGGAGAAACAUGCUGCUCUCCUCUUCUAUUCCAUUUUAUGUUUCUACAUAUCUUUCGAGAAGGGGGAGGUCCGAGCCAUAACGGAUUGAUGUGACCGUAACGGCGACUUGGAUAGCCGUAACACUCUCGGUAUGGAGGCGUCCCGAAGGGGACCGGCAGUAAGACUGCUUAUGCCCCGAAAGGCUGAGCCGAAUCAAAAAAAGCCUGGAAUUCCACCAACAGGAAUCUUCCUUCAAGUCCUCCAUACGUCAGUUUCUAUUCCAGCCCAGCAACGAAGGUCGGUCUGCAACAUUCCCUGGUACCCAUUCCGCUUACAGCUAGAAUCUCUAUCUCUGAUCCUGCCCUCCUUCCUAUCUGUCAUUUACAGAAGGUGCGAACCUGGUCUAGCAUCUCUCGGGUUUUUUUUCUCUCCUAUUUUUUUUUCUGUCAUAUAUUUUUCUCCUAUUUUUCAUUUUUUAUUUUCAAAAUAGGAAGUUCGAGAUAGAAUUUGGUCCAGUUGCUUCCCGCGGGUUUUCAUAACCCUGCUGCGCAAAAAUGGGGGUUAUUAUAACAAUAUAAAAUGAAGAUAAUGUUUGGAGUUUAAUAAGCUCUUUGCAAAAGAAUAGUUCCUGCUAGUGAAGUACCUAAAUAGUGCAAUCUCUUGCAUCGAGAAUCAUCCUACUUCUUCACUUAAUGCUUGCUUUCCGUCUUGCCUUUGCUGGGCCUACGAUAGGCUGUACUCCAAUACGAAAUAAGAUUUCUGGAGGCGCCUCACCACAAAUGCCUUUCCGUGACCCAAGCUACUUUACAAGCCUAUUUGUAAAAAACCUAGAAACUACUUCUCGUGAUGUUGUGGUAGAGCUUUUAUUUUAGCUCGAAACAUGCCGUAGUUCCUCGCUGGGACAGGAAUAAGUCGUCAAGUAGGCAUAUGAAUGGGAAAGGCUUUUCUUGUGGAUUCCUCCAACUCCAUGAAUGAAGGGGGGAGUAUGAGGAGGCUCUUUCAUCAACUGAUGUAAAGAUCAGUUAAUUCGCCAUAGUUUUUCUUUAGGGAAAGAUAAUAAGAUGGCUCCCUGUGCUCUGGCGCUAAUUCGUAGUGCUCUUCAGGUCCGAUACACAGAUCUGUCUUUUUCUCGAAAGACCUCCUUGUAUUUUCUAAUGUUCCGAAUCUAGCUUAUUCAACGUGGAUCCGACAAGAUCUGCUCCUCUUAGGCUCUACCACUGAGCUACUGAGGAACAAGGGGAGAUUCGACCUCCUAGAGUUCAACUCCCGCUCUCAACCCGUGAACAAUAUGAGUCCGAAGCUUCUUUCGUAACUCCUGAAAUUUGGUUUUUCAAGUAGUAUAGUUUUCUCAAGAAACCGGAAAAAGAUAAGUGUAGAUAAGUAAGGAGGGGCCCUUAGUGAGUGUGUAUAGGUUUCUGAGUCAGAAGAUUCUCAGGAUGGAGUUCCCCCGACUAGAAGGAUCCAGGGACAACGGCUAUUUCCUCCUAAAAUAUUGGCAGUAGCCGAAACGACUGGAAACCCAGGUAGCGGUCCGAAAAGGGCAAAAGUGGGAAGCGGAGACCGUAAAAAGGGGGAAAGGGCUGUUCCCUAUUAUUUCAAUCUUCCUCAACAGCUUCUAAUGAUUAACUUGCAAAACCCAUUCUUGCAAAGAGCCCUUUUUCCAAUCCGGACAAAAUCGCGGGUGUCCAGUUGGCAUGGGUCUGGGUUCGGCUCAUCAACUCGAACGGUCAAUGCUGGCCUGAUACCAGCAUCGUUAUACGUCACAAGUUGGGGUUGUUGGGGAGUAGGGCCGGGGGAGAAGUUCUAGAUACUUUUCCUUACAUUGUAUCCGACAUCCUUUCCAUUCUUUUGGAGAGAACUCGACUACUAGAAGGCACUAGACUCUGGGCUCCUCGUUCAUCGGGAAAUGGGCCUGAAACCGCGCACUCCCAGAAUGGCGCUUCAAAUAUCACCAAAGAGAGAGGGUGCUUGCACCUGGCACCUCGGUCUUCAGUUGAGAAAAGUGCGAGUCAUAGAAAGUUUGAAAUCCAAAUCAAGAUAAAACGCGAAUAUGGGAGCCCGGAGGAAGAUUCUAUCUUAAUAAAUGAGGGUUUUAUUGAGCAUCGAGGAACAAAAGAAUUUAGUCUAAAAUACCAAAAAGAAGUAGAUCGGUUUUUUUUCAUUCUUCAAGAACUGCAUCCGCUCUCAACCCGUGAACAAUAUGAGUCCGAAGCUUCUUUCGUAACUCCCGUUCCCUUGGCAAGGAAGUUCUGAUCAUUGCAUUGGCAUUCCAUGUUUGCAGGCCACAUCCCAAAGCAGCGAAGAACAAAUAGAAUUUGCUACAAAAGCCGGCUAAGGACAGACAAGAGAAGAAGUCAGAAGGGCAUAACCUGGAGUCCGUCUUUUCUAGGUGCGCAUCUCUAUCUACUAAAAGUAGCCCAUGUCUUUGAAAUCCAACGAUCGUAAUGCCUAUAAAAAUGGAAAAUGAAAGAGCCAAAGUUUUUACUAGAAGUGGAAGAGUUACACAAAGUUCGCGAAAUGAUCACAAGGGUUUAUGCACUAAGAACAGGCAAAUAUGCCUGGGUAAUUCCUCUUCUCCCACUUCCAGUUAUUAUGUCAAUGGGAUUUGGACUUUUUCUUAUUCCCACAGCAACAAAAAAUCUUCGAUCGGUUUCGGGUCAAAUAGGAAGAACGUAAAUCUUCCACCUCUGGAAAGCGCCUACACCUAAUGGCUUAAGCCGCUGUUCCCAUUUCCUCGCUGACCCAUCAUGCGAAAGGUACGCCGUUAGAGUGCGUGCGCCCGCGCUCCGCUCCUUCGACUGAUUGUUCGCAUCGGAUCUCAGGUUCUCUAUUGCACUCCCCGAUUGGGGUUCUUUUCACCUUUCCCUCACGGAAUAGAAAGAUAGAUCCAUCCAUCUAUCCAGAUAUCUAAAAAAGAAUCGAUUUUGAUUUCAUGAAACCUUUGAUUCAAAGAACUGCGCUUAGCCCCCCCGCUCAUGAAACGGCUCUGCUGCAAUGGAUGGCAGAGGGUCCGUAGUACACGAAGCACUGGAGUGAUCCAGUAGCUGGGAAGGGGCCUAGAAGUGCCCCUUUGAGUUUGAUCAAAAAAACAAAAAUGCAAGAAAAAUUGCAAUCCCUACCACGUAAUAGUGCACCUACACGCCUUCAUCGACGCUGUUUUUUAACCGGCGAAUAUCUGUAUAUAAGAAACUUCUAUUCCAAUCCACAAUCGGUCCAACAAGUCAACUGUCGUCAAUUAGAUCAAUCAGGAAUAAGCAAUAUGUCGUACCCUAUCUGUCAUAUUUGCUUUUCGGUAAAGUUGAACCGGGACCUAUUCUCAUAAUAGGCAGCAAGCAAAGCUAAAUAGGAAAGGGGGCGACGUUGCCUUUUUCGUCAAAAUAAAAAAGGGUGGAAUGUGGAGCAAUUCUUCCAUGUUUCCGCAGUAGCAUAUUGUUCCAUGGAGCUAGGGUCCAAAAUAGGAAUCAACAAGUGUUUCCACGACUCUACCGCCCGGCCAAUCCUGUUCCACUGAAUCCCCUGAGCCGGAGGUCACUUUUCCCGAUCCAUCCCGAAGGUUUUUUUCCCUCUCUCGCCCCAUCAUCGUACCCAGUCCUGCUAUCGGCUCAGCCCAAUAGCAGCUGGGCUAGGUACGAUGAGCGGGCGACGAAAGUCAUGAAAAUUGGUAAGUUGGUCAAUGGAAUCCAGUCGAAAGAUCAAGAAAGCAAAGCAUAAGAAGACUCUGAUCCUCUUCUACGAAUCUACAACUCUCUUUACUGAGCGAGACUUCAUCUAUAUCCCUAAAAGUGGAUUUGGAUUCCCAUUUUUUCUUUGAAUGACAUUGAAAAGGGGGGUCCCUCCUCCCCCUGCUAGCUAGAUAUGGUGGGGUGCUUUCGCAACGAAUCUCUUGACCUAAAAAAAGUGUCCUUUCUCGAUACAUAACAUUGUAUAAGUCAACCCAAGUCGCUUCUUCAUCUCCGGGAAUCUGGUAAGGUACUUUUGGAACACUAAUGGGCAUAUUAGAUUAAUAUUAUUAAAUUUAAGUAAAAAAACUACACUUUAAUAUGGAAACAUAAGAAUCUGCAGAAGCAUCUAAUAGCGAUUCUUAGAAUCCACAGCAAAGAACAGAACACCUCGUUCCCAUUUCUCUUUUUGUACGGAAUGAACCAAUUCUCGUUCUACAACAAGAAGAAGAUCCAUGAACUGGAACGGAUGGAAGAUAGCACUAGAAGUAAAAGAAAUAUUGAAAGGUGAUUUUACUAGUCAAGCAAGUAUCGGACAACUGCGAGCGAAAGCAAGAGAUGUUUCUCGAGCUACAAUGAACAAUUCCAUUCAAAGGAAUGUUCUAGAGGGGGCCCUUUUCCGCAAAUUUUGUUGAAAAUUAGUCGUUAUUUGAACGAAACCGGGAGGCCUCUGCCGUCUUACAACGCUCACCGGGAUUUCUGAGCAGAAGUACUCGGGCCCCGACUCGAUCCUGGGGGAAAAGUGAUAUCCAGCACGGGUCCAAUAAUUUGAUCAAUAUGCCCUACGCUUUUUUCUUCAAUUGUGGAAACCCCGGGACGCGAAGUAGUAGGGCAUCUUUCGGCGGAGGAAAGGAGGCGACUAGUCGCUUCUGGCGAAGCUGCGAGUUCAUGAGCAAGUGAAUGAACGAGCUGCGAGUGAAGUGCUCCUCAGCAAAUCUAAUCCCAAUACGAAUUCCAGAAUAAUGCUAUAAUGGAGCCAUCCUUUCCAAAUGAAUCUGUAUCCUCUGUUUCGAUGAAAGCUAUCCCCGGGGACAGAAUUUUUAUGACAGUUUGGCCAAUCUUGAGAUUGUUCUACAGCGUUGUCUUGAAGCUGAUUUGGUACUCAAUUGGGAGAAGUGUCAUUUCCUGGUUCAAGAGGGUAUUGUCCUCGGUCAUUUGGUUUCCUUGCGAGGAAUUGAGAUUGAUAAAGCCAAAGUUGAGGAUCGCUUGGUCCUGCCCCAUUUCCUUGAAUGAAGAAAUUGAGGUUCCAUACCAUCUCCUUCCCCACUCAAAAGGUAUGCGCCGCUACAACGGAUGUUCCCGACUCACACCGGAUAUGGACCGAACUAUCUCACGACGUUCUGAACCCAGCUCACGUACCGCAUUAAUGGGCGACUCAAAAUCUCGUGCUAAAGAGCGUGGAGGUUCGCCCCACUACUUACUUAAUGAAUCUCAUGGGCCUUGUCCUGGCUUCAAAGAAAGACCUUUCGAAAUGUCAAUUUACGUUUUCAAAACUACAGCUAUCUUGCCUAGAGUCCCCUCUGUCUUGCUAAACACAAAUCCUUCUUUUCUUGUAUAGACGAAAAAAAGAACAAAGUAGGUUUCGACCCAUUAAAGGAGUCAAUGGCCUUCCAACGGGCCAGGAAAUUGGUCACAAUCAUAAAAGACCUGAACCGGAGGUGCAUACAAUUGACAGGGUAGCUCGGAGGUCAGAUGAGUCCCCAUAAAGAUAGAUUAGUACUGGAAGGUUCAGAUGAAGGAAUGGGGUAGCGAGGGGUGCUAGGUCUUUCUUCGCAAGCGUUGCGGGCUUCUCUCUCUGGUCUCACUUCGAGUCAUUGGAAGCCUGCAGGGUCAAAUUUGGAGUAUUUUCAGUUAGAAUCUAGAGUCAGCCUAUUCAGUUCUUAGCCCUUAAGGGUAAGGCAGGGGGAGAACUUGUCGAUUGGUCAAGCGAUUCCAGAUUCUUCUUCAUUUGCAGUAGAGAAAUAGCUGCCCAAAGGGGAUCAUUGAGCCGGUUACCGGUGGCUAAGAGCCUUUCCUUUCCAUUUUAUCGACCUUUCCUUUGGAUUUAUUAUCAUAGGUAGUGUUCGAGAUCGCCUCUAUGCGGUGAACGCUCAUCCAAAUGUUGGUGUGUUGCUAUCGGAUCGAAAUAGAGGUCAGGGUUUGGCAAAAAUGCUGCCCUUCGAGAAGUCCCCCACCCUCUUUUUGUAAUCUCUGCAGCUUCCUAGAGGCUUUUUGCUUUUUAUUAUUGAAAAUAUAGCAGAUCUGAAGUCUUUUUUAUUAUUUUUUUUCUUCGUUUUUUACUCGUUUUUAGCACCUAUAACGGAGCCAUCAAUUGGUAGAGGUAGAAACUAUCAAUUUUUUUUUGAAAUCGUUCGGACCUCUGCUUAGUUUCAUCCAAGCUUCAUCCUAGUCAUGGCCACCUUGUAAAUAUGUGUUCGUAUCCGGGCAACAUCACAGACAGUGAAAAUCUUAGUCACUAGGCAAGAAUGGAAAGAGCUUCUUUACCUCAACAGAAAAGUAGCUUACCCAAAGCUAAUCCUCAGUUUCAACCAGUACAAAAGCAAAGCUUGUCCCAGCCUCAUUAGACUGAAAAGAAUUACCCCUGCCUCUGUUGGGUCCGGAACGGCAGCCCCUGCUGGAGUGAAACCUUCCACCAUUUUCGGAAAAAGAGGGGUCCCAAAUGAAAUUCUAGAGAAAUCCUUGUUAUUCGCGGAAAUAGGAUCGGAACAAGAAGGCUUCCAGGAAUUGGGAAUGACCGGAGGUGGGGUAACAGUCGACAAGGAGUAUGGGAUGACAACCGUGGACCUUAACAAUAGUGGGUUCAAAGACAAACCAUUCGUCCUUGCUGCAGACGUGAGUCUGGUGUUCUAUGUCAAAGAUAUGUCUACGAAACCAAAGAGAGGAAAAAAUGAUGACCACUCAAUCAUCAAUGAGCCAAAGCGCCACAUUGUCCUUUCUCGGAAAAGAAACAUUGUCGGAAUUGAGGACAAGUCAGACAUGUCAGGCGAUUACGAAAGGGAUGAUCGAAUUCCGCCCUUCAUAGUCAACAAAGACCCAAGCAUUCUGUUAAACAAUGAGGAUACUCCAUGGUUACGGCAGGAUCAUAACCAAGGGUCAUACGUCAAGAAGAAGUUCACUGUUGUGUCGGCUUAACAUAAAGUCAUGUUUAAUAGUAUGUGUUGUAAGAAACUUUGUAUGAAACUAUAUUUGAGAAUUGUGAAUUUUGAUGAGUGUAACAAACUUUGUAUUCAUGACUUUUCCAUUUGGGACCAUCUAGAGUUCGGUCAAAGAGUGUUUUUGUAAAAACCAUUGCUUUGACUUCGGUCAAACUUGGUCAAAUGACAAACUAAAUUACUUAAAAUGAAAAAAAUUUGAAUACCAAGUUGUUAGAUAUCAUCAAGAUCUAAACCUUUUAUAUACACAACUUUUCCAUUUGAGAAAGUUUAAGUUUACAAUACCCACCAAUUCUUGAAUCUCACACAAACUAUAUGAAACUAUAUGUGUCAAUUGUGGAUUUUCAACUACACCUUCCUAAAACUUUGUCAAAUGCAAAAAUGGUCUAUAUAUUAAAUGUACAUUUUGAUGAGUGGAACAAUAAUGGCAUUCAUGAUUUUUCCAUUCGAGGCCAUCUAGGGUUCCAAAACAGCUGCGUGGCUAUGAAUUCUCUGAAAAUUCAAAAUUGAGUGGUUCAAACUUUUCCAAAAGAAAAGUUGACCAUUAGACAAAAUGUAGAACUUGAUGAGUGUAACAAACUUUGUAUUCAUGACUUUUCCAUUUGGGACAAUCUAGGGUUCGGUCAAAGGGUGUUUUUGUAGAAACCAAUGCUUUGACUUUGGUCAAACUUGAUCAAAUGGCCCAUUUGAUGACUUCAAAUGAAAAAUUUUUGAAUACAAAGUUGUUAGAGAUCAUCAAGAUCUACAUUUUAUAUAUUGUCCAUUUUUCCAUUUGGAUAAUUUUUAGCCAAUCAUAAUCACAUUUCUAUAAAAUCCAAGACAGGAUUUGGUCAAACUUGGUCAAAUGACAAACUAAAUUACUUAAAAUGAAAAAAUUUUGAAUACCAAGUUGUUAGAUAUCAUCAAGAUCUAAACUUUUUAUAUACACAACUUUUCCAUUUGAGAAAGUUUAAGUUAACAAUACCCACCAAUUCUUGAAUCUCACACAAACUAUAUGAAACUAUAUGUGUCAAUUGUGGAUUUUCAACUACACCUUCCUAAAACUUUGUCAAAUGCAAAAAUGGUCUAUAUAUUAAAUGUAGAUUUUGAUGAGUGGAACAAUAUUGGUAUUCAUGACUUUUCCAUUCGAGACCAUCUAGGGUUCCAAAACCGCUGCGUGGCUAUGAAUUCUCUGAAAAUUCAAAAUACAGUGGUUCAAACUUUUCCAAAAGAAAAGUUGACCAUUAGACAAAAUGUAGAACUUGAUGAGUGUAACAAACUUUGUAUUCAUGACUUUUCCAUUUGGGACAAUCUAGGGUUCGGUCAAAGGGUGUGUUCAUCAAGAUAUAUAUUUUUAUAUGAUAAAUAGAUUUUUUAUUCGAUGAAAACAAUACCCUACUAGCAUUCCGAGUAAUAAAUAACAAAAGUAAAAAGUUUAACGUCAAUAUGAUGUGAAAAUAGAUUUCCAGUAGAUUGGAUAUAGUUUUUGUAAAUUUAUUGGAAUAAUAUAUUUUUGCAUGAACAAAAUACUAAACAUUUCUUACAAAAUCAUUGCAAAUUAUAAAAAUACAGUAAGAUAUUUAAGGUUAAAAUUUUUCAUGUGUACAUUAAAAAAAAUUACAAUAUAUGUCACUGUUUAAAAAAUAUUAUGCAAAAUAUUUAAUUUACUAUACAAUUUAUAAUAUAAACUGUAUGUAAACUUUAGCACCGGUUCCAGACAAGGACCGGUGCUAAAGGGUCUGCCCCUAUAUAAGCCACAGGCGCUCUGGAUCUGAGCAGUUGCCUUCGUCUUCGUCUUCGUCGAGCAGAGAGCUCCGCCGCCGCCGUCCAACGCCGCCCGUUCGUCUCCACAGCACCGCCGUUCGUCUCCAGCGCCGCCGCCGCCAUCUCCAGCGCCGUCGCCGCCAUCUUCAGCAGAGCCGGCCGCCACCGGCCAUCUCCUUCGACGAACUCUGGCCGCCACGAUCAUACGUAUAUUCAUCGAUCUAUAUAUAUGCAUGAAUGCCAACAGUUUAUAUAUAUAGACUAAAAUUGUAUAUAUGAAUUGUAUAUAUAUAUGAAUACCAACAGUUUCGAUGAAUAAUAUGUUAUAUAUAUAUAUUACAUAUAUAUAUAUAUAUAUAUUAUAUAAAUAUAUGUAUCAUAUAUAUAUAUAUCUUAUAUAUGUAUAUAUAUAUUAUAUAAUGUUUUGAAUUGUUUUAAAUGUAUAUAUAUAGUAGUAGUAUGUCAGUCUCUAAUAUAUAUUAAUGUUUGUACUAUUAUUCUUAUAUUAUUUUGUAGUAUUAUUUUUUAGUAUAUUAUUCUAGUGUAUUACUUGGCUUAAAAGAUUCAAGUGUAUACAUAUACUAUUAUUGUUUACUAUUAUUCUAGUAUUAUUUUUUAGUAUAUUAUUCUAGUAUAUUACUUGGCUUAAAAGAUUCUAGUGUAUACAUAUACAUAUAUUAUUGUUUGUACUAUUAUUCUAGUAUUGUUUUUAGUAUAUUAUUCUAGUGUAUUACUUGGCUUAAAAGAUUCUAGUAUUAUUUUUAGAGCACUCCAACACUUUCAUUUGUAGUAGUACUAGUAGUAGUAUAUAAGUCUCUAAUAUAUAUUCUAGUAGUGUUUAGCCACCAAAUUUAUUCUAGUAGGGUUUUUUAUAUAUUAUUGUUUGUACUAUAUUAUUCUAGUAUUUUUUAGUAUAUUAUUCUAGUAUAUUACUUGGCUUAAAAGAUUCUAGUAUUAUUUUUAGAGCACUCCAGUAGUACUAGUAGUAGUAUAUAAGUCUCUAAUAUAUAUUCUAUUGGUGUUUACCCACCAAAUUUAUUCUAGUAGUGUUUUGUAUAUGUUAUUGUUUGUACUAUUAUUCUAGUAUUAUUUUUAGUAUAUUAUGAAUUCUAGUGUUUUAGUAUAUUAUGAAUUCUAGUGUUAUUGUUAGUAUUAUUUUUUUAGUAUAUUAUUCUAGUGUGUUUCUUAUCUUAUAUAGAAUAUAUAUAUGUAUGGUUGCAGACAUAGAAAUGGCUGACCGUCCUCAUGAUGAUCCUGAUUAUAUGGAAGAUGCCAUUCAAAAUAUGAUCAACGACGGUAGUCAGUACUUUAUUGAUUACAACGAGAUCAUGCAAGGCAAUCCGAUUGAGCAACAAGAGGGAAAUGCCCCUGAGUAACAAGAGGGCAAUGCGCCUGAGCAACAACUUGUCGUGAAACAAGAAGAAAAUACUGGCGAGGUAUGUAAAUGUAAACAUAUAUAAUUAAUGCAUCUCUUACAUUAGGUUUUAGACUUACUUGGUUAUUAAUUUAGUAUUUUUGUUCUUAUAUCUACGUGUAGCCUUCUGGAUCGACCUCUACGGGGAGAAGCGUACCUCCACGAGGGCCAAAGAAGCCGUUGGAGGGCCGCUAUGUAAUCUCUGAGUUUGAGAUAGCUACAGGCAGACCACUUGGUGAACAUGUAAAUAAAUAUGUUAGUCACUGUGGAUAUCUUGUGAUAGAUCAAAUACCGAUUAGUGCUCGUUAAUGGAGAGAGAAGCGAGGUGCUCCUAAGAUCAGUUUUGUCUCUGAUCGUGACAAGGACUUAGUUUGGAAAGCCGUCACAGACGUUUUUACCUUCGACACCAACGAUGAAGAGUUGAAGGUGCGAAUUUAUGACUGGAGUAUGAAGAAGAUGGCGGUACUGUUCCAGAAUUGGAAGAAGACUUUGUACAAUAAAUUUGUCAAGAAAAACGAGACUCCAAAUUUCAACCUCAAGCAAUACGUAAAGCUGAGGGUCUUCUGGGAUGACUUCGUGCAGUACAAAACAUUAGAAGAGGGCGAGGAACGAGCCAUUAGAAACAAAGAGAAUGCAAGUAAAAAGACAUACCACCAUCAUAUGGGAUCAGGUGGUUAUAAGAAUGUUGUAUCCAAGUGGGACCUAAUGGAACAGGAGAUGCUUGCUAGGGGGGUCACACCCGAGACAAUAGCAAAGAAUUGGAGCGAGCGCUCCAAGCAUUGGUUCUACGGUCAUGGGGGAAGCUUGGAUCCAGACACCGGGGCGCUAUUUUGGGGCCAAGAAAUCUCUAGAGCAGCAGAGAGACUAGUCCGUGCACGAGAGGCGGUUCAGUCUGGUGAGUUCAGGCCUAACAGGGAGAAGGAUGAACUCACCUAUGCGCUUGAAAAUCUUGAGCACGGUGGGCGCACGAGAGGCUAUGGGGCAGUUCCGUGGCUGCAAUCAUUCCAAGCCAAUCAAGAUACCUACAGAAGCUACCAGAGAAAGAAGGAUGAGGAGGAAGAGCGGAUCCGCCGCCUGGAAGCUUUUGUUCUGCAGUCAGAAGAGCGUGAGAAAGCUCGUGAAGAAUGGAUGCAGGCGGAGAUUCAAAGGCAAGUGCAAGCAGCACUUAGUCAAAUGACGAAAGGGCAAGGUACAUCACAGCCUGAGGUCAACGUUAGCCCCCCAUGCCAGUUGAAAAGCAGCUGCGGAUCCACGGAAGUACCAACCGUUCAGGAUGACACGAAGCUACACUUCCCCGUGGAUGAUGUCACAGAGGCUUUUAGUACCUGUGAGCUGCAUGUACCAGAUGGGAAUGCAACAAAAAAGGUGGCUAUCGCUGUUGUCAACCCUAUCGACCGAACGAGAAAUCCAACAAUCCAUAAUCGACCAGUACCUAGUGGAUAUGCUAGCGUCUCGGUUGAUAGGGUUGAGAAAGGUUGUGGCAAUGUGCCUCUAGACAUAGAAGGGGAGACAGAGAGAAGACAUUAGGUGAAGCUGAGAAGACAUUUAUUUGUUGGCGCAAGCUCUUCAUAAUUAUUCCUCAACAUAGGUUUGUGUGUGAUUUUACUUCUUAUAUUAUUUAUUAUGUAUUGAAAUUAAAAAAGAGUUUGCUCACAAAACUUGUAAUUGUUUUCUUUGCAGGGACUCCUCCAACCUAAGUCCAGUUCUCUCCCCAGCGCAUCAUAGUGCUGCGGGCGGUGACAAUGCUGGAUCUCCUCCAACACCUGCGGCGGCCACACCGACCCCGCCACCGCCUCCACCACGGUCUCCACCUCCUCCACCGAGGUCUCCAACUCCUCCACCGCAUUCUCCAACACCGAAAAGAUCGGCCCCACCACCUCCACCGCCUGCACCGCCCUCUCCAAAGUGUACACGGUCGGUCCCCUCGCCUCCAAAGCGAGGUAGUCACAAGUGGUCCGCCCAAGAACGACCGAAGUCAUCGGUCCCACCUCCAAAGAAGGCUGCCUCAGCAAAGAGAGCUAAGACUCCAGAAAAAUUAUCUUAUGAAAAUAGUGAAGAGGAGGUAAUUGCUGCAUCCAAAGCUGAGGUGAAACAAUUUUUUGAUAAAUUGAAGGAGGAUAGAAAAAAGCGGCUAAACCCAGAAAAGCCGUACUUUUAUGUAAAGCCAUUGGAACUGAGGCAGAAGGUGGCGGACCAGCAAAAGAAGCAACCCGAAGCUCAGAAAAAGUCAGCACUUUCGGACUAUGAGCGGUCUCUGGUCAAGUCUUCACAGCCUAGAAAGAGGGUCCCACAGCUCGGAGAAGUAUCAAAACCGGUGCCCCCUUUGAUUGUGCCAAAUCAAUACGGCUCAAAUGAAGACUUCAUGCCAAAGAAAUCCUUAGCGUUGUCUGAGCUCGACUCGCUUGAGCGUUUCUUUCGACACACAAAUGUUUGCAAUAAACAAAUGGUGCAUUGAGGCGUCUAAAAGGGGAGAGAAUUGGAUUUCUGUUCGUAUUAGACAACAUCACUACUUCUGUGGAGAUGACCUCAUAUACGUGCAGUUCGAAGAAUUGCACCAACUAUGUCACCUCGACGCUCUCGACAAAUCUCUUGUCAGCUACUUUUGUCUGUAAGUAUUUUUUCUUUUUAUUAUACUUCUAACUUCUUUAAUUACAUGUAUAUAAUCCUUACACACUUAGAAUUUAUAUGUAUAUAUGCAGGCACCAAAUGAGAGAGCUCAGAAUCAGAAAUGACAAUAGUAUUGGGUUCGUUGACCCUUAUAUUGUUUUCAAGGCUCCGCAGGCAGUGUGGACAGCAGCUCAUGAGACAGAAGUAUGCACCAAUCUUAUGAGGUUCUUUGUGAACCAAAAAGGAAAAACAAAAAAUACUCUUCCCCUUCAACUUCGAGUGAGUUAUAUAGUUAUUAAGUGCAUGCAUAUUUUAUUUUAAUAAUUAUUACUCGAGACAAGUUUUAUAUAGUUAUAUAUAGGCCUGACUAUAUAUAUAUAUGUGUGUAAACAGCUUUCACUGAAUACUCAUGGUCAUUGAAAUUCCCAAGAACCGGUUGAUAAUCUUUGACUCAAUGAGAAAACCAAAAGAAAAUUAUCAACAAAUGGUAAACAUUAUUCAAAGGUACGUAAUAUCAAUCUCAGCUAGAACAAUAUGAUAAUAUGACUCUGUAAUUAUUAGUUCACGAUCCACAAUGGCUGUGUGUAGGGUUUGGGAAAGAUUCAUUGACCGUGAACAUCUCAGUGGAUGUAAAGCGCCGCUUAACAUCCACAAGUAAGUUCUACUAGCUAGCAAACUUUCGCUAACUUUUAGCCUUCUUAUUGUCAUGGUCGUGAAUAUUAUAUAUAUAUAUAUCGUACAGUGGUGUUUAAGACAAGAAGGGGGGAACAAUCUAUGUGCAUAUUACGUGUGCAAAUUCAUGAUGGCACAAGUCAAUCAAACACCCACAGAGACUGCUCAGAGUACGUUACAUGUCUCUUUUCAUUAUCUCCUGAAUUAUAUUGAAUAACUUAGAUAACUAAUACUUUUUUAUUUAUUUCAAAUUAAAGACGGAAUGGUUGAGGGAAAAGGUCAUACAAAAAGACUGAAUCAAAGCUAUCCAAGAGACGAUAGCAGGAUUUCUCCGCGAGCAAGUGAUCAAUCCAAACGGCGAGUUUCACUUCAACGGCAACGAAACUCUUAUUCCAAACAACGAUGAUCAUUUGUAUCGUUUUUAGACAUUGGGAUAAAAAACUCUAUGUAUAUAUGUGUUACGAAUUUUGUACUUAUAAAACUAUAUAUAUAUAUAAAGCUUUUUACAUAUCUAUUUAAUUUUUGAUGUGGCCUAUUCAUUUUAUUAUAGGCAAAGCUUAAUUAUAAAGCUAAGCCUAUAAUUUUCAUUUAUAUAUGCUUAAUAUGCGUGUAAUAUAAAUAUAUUAUUGUAUCAGCAAAAAUAUGUAUUAAAAAACCUAUUAUUAUUAUAUAUAAAAACAAUAAACAGAACCGAAGAUGUGAACCAAAAAAAAAGAAACCAUUAACACCGGUUGGUAAUACCAACCGGUGUUAAAGGCUCCUGCAACGUGGCAGCCCUGGCAGGACCCUUUAACACCGGUUGGUAUUACCAACCGGUGUUAAAGGGAGGGGGGUGGGCUUUAGCCCCGGUUCCCCAAACCGGGACUAAAGGGUGCCUUUAGUCCCGGAAGAGUAGCACCGGCUCGGGAACCGGGGCAACAGGCCCUUCCCGACCGGUGCUAAUGCCCGAACGUGUGCUAGUGUCAGCUCCUCUAGCGCCCUUUCACGAAACCUCUAACAAGCUAGAAAAGGUCUUCAUAAUGAGCUAAAGCCAGAGCCAUAUAACCCUCAUGGUUGUACGAGUUGUUACAGCUUUUGCCAAGGGAUAAGUCCUUAUGGAGGGUCAAGAUCAAUCCAGCAAAAGCCAGAGUUCUUUCCACCCUUUAUAUUCAAGUUGCUAGAAAGCUUAUUUUAUUGUUUAUUGUAUAUUCUAAUAUUCAUGUUACAAGAUCAUGGAUUAAUAAUCAAGCACUAGCAAGAACUACCCACAUGCAUAUCCAAAUAGGUAACAAGGAAUUCAGGAUAAUAAUCAUCUAUGAUUUUGCUAAGGUCAUCAAGGUGGACACAUGCAUAUGAUAUAUGUAUUAAAAGUGUGUAGGUAACAAGGAUGAUCCCAAGUUAUACUUGCCUUGAUCAAGGCUCUCCUGAGCCUGCUGCUGGUCUUCAAAAGAUUGACCUUGAUCACCAACGUAUCGCUCACCGUCUAUACUCAAUCAUCAAUCAACAACACGCAAUCCAAUGUAGACAUUCAUACACGAAGCAAACAAGUUAUUAUUAGAACAAUACACCAAACAGUGGUAAAACAAAUAUAAAAGUUUAUCAAAAUAUUCUACGCAGCGCUACGAUCACACAAACGUAAAGUUCACAAAAUUCAGAAUUAAAACGUAGAAGAUAUGAAUUUUCCAAGAUUUCCUAUAGAUAAAUAAUUAGUUAAAUACUAUUGCAUGAUUAAAAAGUUUCAAAAUAGAGAAUUAAUACGCCUAACAUAUACGAACCUAACGCAAUUUGAAUGGACAAAAAUGGAGUUAAAUCGAAUAUUUUAUGAGCAAAACAAAAUCAAUGGCAAUUCUUUAAAUACUGGAAAGCGUAAUUUGAUUCAAACCGACAAAAAUACGCUUUUAGAAAAUGAAAACGUAAACCAGAAAAUACGUAAAGGACGGCGGGUUGAUUACUCACAUCCUGGGGGUCUCUUUAGCAAAAUAACCCCUGAAGGGGUAUCUUCUGUUCUGGUGCGUCGGAUUUCAAUCGGACGGUUGAAAUCGCGCAGGGGUGAGAUCCGGCCGACUGCCUCGCCGGAACAGGAGCCCGACACGGCGGCGCCAUGGCCGGAGGAGCCGAGCUCGGUGGCGCUCAUGGUUUCGACGACUCAGAGCCUCCCUGGAAGAAAGAAAUGCACUGGGCGGAAGAGGAGCUUACCCCGAGCUCGCCUAAGCACCUUUCUAAGGCCAAGGACGCGAGUAUGGAGCUCGCGGUGGCGGCGAGAAGAACUUUGCUCGGCGAGAUCCCAAAACGCAAGAAAACGGCGGCUAGGGCACGGUUUGGCAAUUUAGAUGCAAAGAGGAGUUCGCUGCAGUGUUAGGGAGUCUUAUAGGACGCGAUUGAGCAAGAAAUCCCGGGUUCGUCGGGAUUUGGAAGGUGCGGCUUGAGUCCGGGUUGGUGACGGCGCGAGGAAGAAGGGAAACGGGAGGAAGAGGCGCUGACUUGUGGGGCCCGGCUGUCAGCCACCGAAUGGAGAGGGGCACGCGGCUGCCUGGCCACUAGGUCGCUCAUAGGCCGAGAGAGGGAAUAGGCCGAACGAGGGGAGAAAAGGGGGAAGGGUGCUAGGCUGCGGGGAAGCUGGUUGGGCUGAGCGCGGGGGAGAGGAAAAGCUGUGCUGCGGCCUGCGGCCAGCUCCCAGGGAUUUCUCCCCUUUAACCUUUUCUUUUCAAAAACAUUUUCCAACUAGAAUUCUGUGCACAAAUUAUUUCUAUGCAAAAGCAAAGCAAGCAAAACAUAAAAUAUGCUCCAGCAUGAAUGCAUAACCAUGUUUCUAAUCCUAGGAUGAAUUUUAAUCACCAUAAAAUUAUUUAUUUGCUAGAUUGAAAAUGCUCACCAAAAAUACUUAAAUAAAUCAAUUUAAUUCCUAUUAAUUGAAAUAAAAUUUUUGGGUGUUACAAUCAAUAAUUCCCCCAAGCUUACCUUUUGCUAGUCCCUUGGCAAACCAAGCCUAAGCAGUAUAUGUAUUUGGAUCAAGAGUUGCAACAAUGUUUUAAUUCUUUCCAAGUACACAUGUUCCCAAACAAAGAUUCUCCUCGAGAUUAGUUAAUAAUUGCUAUAAUAUUCAAACUUACCUGUUUUACCUUUAACCAUGGAGCCUUACAACUUUUGCAUGAGUCUUGAGCAAUCAGAAAACAAAACAAUCAGGUCAAGCACUAUGUCUCAAAUUCUUUGCAGAACCAUUAUUUCGGAGUUUUUUUAUAAGUUUUCAAAAUAAAACUCAGAGCUUAAUUGUAUGACACCCUCAAGUCUCUCAAUAUAUGUGGUAUUUAUGGUUCUCUCUUGAGGCAUUAAUGAUGUUAUGGCUCCUAUAGCUAAAGAGGUAUAUAUAGUAGAGCUUAUAGGAGUGCUAAUAACAAGGAUGGGCAUACUUGCAAUGCAUAUAUUGUAAAGUCAAAUAAUGGAUCCACAGAGAAUUGAGGCAUACAAUCAAACCAAGGUGUGCAUGUGUAUGGAAAAUGGUGGAUAGGUGCAUUUGUGGUAUUUGUGGCUAAUUUUUAUUUCUUUUGGAACAGCUCUCUAUUGAAACUUUUCAGGAAAGACAUGGGCUAUUAUUAUUAUUAUUAUUAUUAUUAUUAUUAUUAUUAUUAUUAUUAUUAUUAUUAUUAUUAUUAUUAUUAUUAUUAUUAUUAUCAGGGAGGCGGGCAUCUAGUACCCAUUGUUUUAAUUACUGGGACACUUGUCCAUCUUUUACUCCCUUGUCUUCUUUUAUAUUUUUGGCAUAGCCACAUGUAUCCUUUGAAUACAAUAAAUGAUCAGAGAGGUAAUAACCUGAACUUAGAGCAUUUAUGAAGGGCUUUAUCCUAUGGGUAUGGUUUAUGUUGGUGUUUACUCCCAGUGUAGGAGAAAAACAUGAUUGAUGAACAUGGAAUGGAAAUGAUUGCGAUUACUCCUAGUGUGGGAAUAAUGCAUAUGUGAACUAGAGUGUGCACGUGAUCUUGGUUUUAAAAGCAUGACAAGACUCUCGUAAGGUAUACUACAAAGGUUGACUAAACUCAAUGCAAAGCAAGUAGCAUAAAUGUGCAAAAGUUUUCCUAACUCUAGAUUAUAUAUGGCUUUGGUAGGAUUUCAAACUUUGUUGGUGCAAAAGCUGAUCUGCAAACACAAAGGGCUAAUACUCGAUUCAAACGUUAAGGCGUGCCAGCCGAUUUGACCCUACUAUCGGCAAAGGUGGUAACACGAACACUUUGGUCCCGACAACAGCGAUGCGCCUGGAUGUCACGGCCUAGAGGUGUUCACGCGGAACUCGAGAAUACGCCGAGCUUAAGUCGACGAAUUCCUAAGAACUCGUAGUAAAAGGAAAAUAUGACGAAGUCGUCGAAAAAGUAGAUGCUGGAAUAUGAGUAAAAACUUGUGUUUGAUUGAUUGAUAGAUAUCUCAUUACAUUGCCCUAGGGUCUACAUUUAUACCCUGUCCAAAGAGCUACAACCAGACACGACUAGGAUUCCAAUUCCAAAUUAAACGGAAAUCGUAUACAAAACGAAUUCUAAUAACUAAGGAAAACAUUAAACUACCCUUUCGUAACCGACCGGGACACCACCACGGUUCAAUCGGCAACCUCCACGCUUUUCUUCAGAGUCAUCGGCAGACCACCUGUUGCAUUCAUCGGCAGACACCAGCAUCGGUCAUCGGUACGAGCACGUCACCACCCCCGGACUUAAUCAUCUUCAGCUAUUUUACAUCGGUAAUUACCUCCAUCGGGAACUCCCCUGUAGACUAGUUACCAUUGUUUUAUGUGCCGAUCUAAAUCCUAUUGACUUCUGGUGUGCAUUAAAAGACACGUGUCCAAAAACGGUGUCAACACAUGCCCCCCAAUUUCGGAGUAUAAAAUCAUUAAUGCUCUGAUAUUCUCUGCAGUUAAUGAUGCCUUUCCGCAAUUACUUCUUCUAAUUUGGUAAUCAAAUCACCAAAUCUGAACAACCUCAUCCCGACUCUUCUGUAGCUUCCUCGAAUUCCUCAACUUCCUGAACGAAUCUCCCCAGAACGCGCUCAUCGGCAAUAUGACCGUUAGAGAAAACUACCGAUGGACCGACCAGGCGAUCUUGCACAGUAAAAUAUCUUCCAAACUAUGACCGCUUGCCGUCAAAUCACCUGCACAAUCCCUUGAUUACCGUGCGAACAGUUACCAUAUCCACCUGAACACCCUCGGAUUUCACGGAUGCGGCAAAGAGAUAAGUCAUAUUUGCCCCUGCCCGUUUUGUCCUAUAAAUACUUCCUUCUUGGGUACUCCUUCUCCAUCAUGUCAUUCUACAGCCCAAAAUCUACUUUCCUGGCGGCGGCAUCACCCGAGAACCUCAGGAACUUCAUCAAGAGUUUUCUUCGCCAAUCCUCCAAGUCUUCGAUCCUCUUUCUUGCGAGAAAAUGGCCGUCAACUUCGUCGUUCCUGAGGUCAGUUUACCAGCCUUCUUUUUCCGUACUCUUGCUGUACCCCUGUUCAUCCGCAAUCCCCUUCACUGAAUACUUCCUUUUCUCUUUGUUCUUCUUUUUAUCCUCAAAAACUUUUAGGAUUUGGCCGAUAAGAUCAUAAUCCAUACUGAUCAACCUCACCUCCAAUGUCUCGGCCCGCGGAAAUCCAGAUCCUACCGAUCUAAUAAACGCAGAGACAAACAGAAUCCCCUUUAGAGCCGAAAACUUCUCCCUAGAUCUAUGGAAGGAUGCCUUCUGCUCCUAGCCCAGCCCUACCAAGGAUGGAAGGAUUGGUUUCUGAGAGUCAGUCAUUCAAAUGAGGUCCAAUGGAGUGAGCGGAAGUUAGACCAGUGCAUUAGAUUGUCUCUUGCCGAUAUGGAGAGGAAUGAGUCACUGCUAAUUGCUGCUUCGUACUUUUGGUCAGACACGCUCAAUGCUUUUGUGUUUGGCCACAGCCCUGCCUCACCUACUCUUACCGAUGUACUCAUGCUCACCGGCUUAGACAUAUCCACUGCCGACAGCAGCCAUCUGUUCGACACCAAACCCAGUGCUAAAGUAGAAACUCGCGCUAUCGGCGGUUGGUCUGGAUAUAUUCAGAAGUACCGAAAGACAGGGUCUGUCGGGGAGAGGGAGCAGAUAAUUUUCCUGAACAUGUGGUUGGAUAAGUUUGUGUUCUACGGCCGAUCGGCAGGACCAACCUCUGUUUAUUUAUCGGCAGCAGAAAAACUAGCCACUGGUGGCCGAUUUCCUCUUGGCCGAUACUUGCUUGGUGCUGCUUAUCACCUUUUCAUCAAGUAUCUAAGAAAUUCUUGCUAGGGCAGCCCAUCGGCAAUCUAGGAGGGCCCUGGUGGUUCAUCAACAUGUGGCUAAGUGUCCACAUGCAUAAGCGCCUUGGAUUUGACCUCUUUGCACAACGCUUCCCUAGAGAUAUAGCUGAAGACCAUGAGCUGGAUGAAGAAGAAUCGGCAACUCGUUCCCCUCUGAACUAUGGUGAAGCAGCCAUAGUUUUACCUGGCACUAGAGGAAAUGAAGAUCAGGUCAGCCGAUUCUUCCAGACUCUUUAUGAAGGUCUGGCCAAAGAGCAGCGAGCAUGGAUGCCCUAUGAGGACCCAGACACCAGAUUUCCUCUGACUUUUCACCCCUUUGAUAACGCUCUCAAUAAGGACCAGGAUCUGAUGAUGGCAAUCAUCACUCCAAGAGCUAUACCAGUGAACUUCUUUGGUAGUGGAAAAGCCUCCAAUCUGACUUACGAAUUCUACAACCCAUCGGCACUAGCUCGCCAACUAGCCUUUGGACAGCUACCGAUUGCGCUCUGCUACGCCGAUGUGGUGAAACCAAGGGAAACCAUAACCAGCAAUCUCGAGUGGACUAGAAUAGAUCAACUUCCACCAAAUGCCGAUACAGACGUUGAUCUAUCGGUUUGGAUUCCGGUUCUCUUCAUCACCCAAGCAUAUAAGCAGUGGUGGGAAGAAUGGAAAGAACACCUGUUCUGCAAAUCGGCCCUCACAUACCGUGGCAUGAUCGACUCCAAGUAUAAAAUUCCCGAGAACACUGUAAGUUUCCAACCGAUGUUUCAAUCUUCUUAUAUUACUUUCAUUUUCUAUCAGUAACUUACUUUCUCUAUUUUUUACAGGUCGAUGAUACGCCGCCAUCAGUUAGCAGAAGUGGCAGGCCGAUUGAACUCCUUCCAUCAGGCCCGAUCACUUUGAUCGGCAACAGCGCUCCAAGCUUUGCGGCUUUAAUGCACCCGGGUGUGCGGUUCAAGAAAAUCACCACCAGGCGAGCGAAAACAUCCCCAUCGGUAGCUGCCACUGCUUUGGCGCAAGCUUUCAAGGUUAAUUCUUGGCCUCUUCAACUUAUACCGAUUCCAUUCUUACAUUUACAUAACUUUUCAGGACACAUCGGCUGGCAUGGGAACCCCAUCGGUAACUUUUAUUAUUUCAACCAGAACCUCAUUAAUACUUUGUUAUACUUGCACUUAUAGAACUUUCAUUGUUGUAUCAGCAGACUGGCAAAUCGGCAAAGACUAGAAGUACCAAAACAACUGUCGAUGCCCCCCAGUCCAGCCAAGCAAAGAGAAAGGGUCCCAAGAGUACCAAAUCACAAGUGAAGCGUCAGAGAACAGCAACACCUCCUCCCCCUCCAAGGUCACCGAUCCCUGUAGAAUCGUCCCCCUCUUCUCCAGAAGCUCAGACACAGCAAGUGCCGUCUCCCCCUCGGCCACAAGAAGAACCCCAGCCAGAAGAACUUCAGCCGGAAGAACCUCAGCUAGAAGAAAUAUCGACCGAUGUACACGAGCAGACUGCCGAUCCAGCGGUCUCAAUUAUAGCAUCGGUAGUCUCCUCGAUCCAGACAAGCACUGCACUCCAUCAAGGUAAAAUACUAUUCAUAGAAUUAUGGCCGAUGGACCUAUUUUUCCACUUUAUAAUUAUCCCUAUUAUCUUUCAGCUGACAUUGUUCCAUCGGCAACCCCAGCUGAUCAACCUAUAAUGCCAUCGGCCUCAACUAGCCAGAGGCGAGAAAUCGCCCUGAAACAAGUAAGUUACCCGAUCUCUAUUUCUGUCAUCACCAGUACUUGAUCAUCAAAUAAAUAAUUUCCCUCUUUCUUUCAGGAACAAGAUUAUCCCGACAGCCUGUUCUCCUUCGCCAUCGAAAUCUCUGAAGAUGAAGGUGAACAAGUGAGCUCUUCUCAAACAAUUGGGAUUUCAUCGGCAGAAAUCAGAGCAAAGCUGGAGGAUUUGCUGGCCCUGCUUCACAAGGAUACAGCCCAAUUGGUUGAUGACUCCGAUCCAACCAAGGCUCUAUUGAAAGCUCUCACAGGCUAGAUCUCUGCCGAUGUCGAGGAAAUCCUCUUCAGAGCCGCACACUUGGAAAGUCGACAGCUUCAGUACCAAAAGGCCACUCAGUGCCUUGCCGAUAGGGCCACUUAUGCCCAGCUUUCAGAGGAGGUGAUGAAGGUAAAGCAUCUUGCCGAUGAGAAGCAUAAGAGCAUCGUCAUUCUGAAAUCCUCAGGAGAGGUGCUGAAGCAAAAGAUCUGUAACCUAUCGGCAAAAAGAGAAGCCCUGUUGGCAGAACUUAAACAAGUGGAAGAAGCUCUGUCCCAAGCUCAACAUGAAGAAAGCCAGCUGCCUGAAGCAAUCAAGACUCUCAAACAGGAACGAAACAUCCAAGCUCGCAAGGCAUUGCAGAUGAAGAAGAAGCUGAAACCGGUGGAAGGUUCUGCCGAUGAAGACAUCAGAGAGAUAGAAGAAGCUGACCAAAUUCGUCUGCGUGCUAUAUCAGCCAUUCGAGCCUUGCUGAAUGUAUGAACUCUUCAUCGGCGGUGUACUUUGCUCUCUCUUUAAAACACUUUUGAUCAUUUUGGUCUAGCCGAUAGGACUAUUAUCGGCAUCCUUUUAAAACAUUGAGUCCGACCCCAGAUACACUUUAGUCCAGCCGAUAGGAAUGUUAUCGGCACUUAAACUUUCACGCAUCAAUCCAUAUGCUAGGAUAAUAUUUCUUUAAGUAUUUGCCAUUUAAUGCCCUGGGAAAUUCAACUCCUUCGAGAGUCUCUAAAAUAUAGGCAUUGCCAGGAGCAGAUCGAUUUAUCCGAUAGAGACCCUCCUAGUUGGGAGACCACUUCCCAAAUUUUGAACUUUUAGUCCUGAUCGGUAAGAUUAGUUUCCAUACUAAGUCUCCAUCGGCAAACUCCUUAGUCUUUACUUUCUUAUCAUACCAUCUGCCAACUCUCUUUUUACUUUCUUCUAUACUCAUCAAAGCUUUUCAGCCGAUGUCCUGCUAAAUCAUCCAACUCGUCUUUCAUCAAAGUAGCAUAGUCAUCGGCAGUCAGCUGAUCUAGAAAAGAUAGUCGCCUAGAUCCGGUUUUAAUCUCCCAUGUCAAUAUAGCAUCAUGUCCAUAUACCAACUGAUAAGGGAAACUUUGGUCGACCCAUGACAAGCCAUCCGAUACGACCAUAAAGCUUCAUUCAACAACGUAUGCCACCUCCUAGGAUUUUCUUCGAUCUUCCGUUUGAUGAGUUUAAUAAUUCCUUUGUUAGAUGCUUCGGCCUGCCCAUUGGCUUGAGCAUAAUAAGGAGAAGAAUUCAAUACUUUAAUUCCCAUACUGAUUGCAAAUUCAUCAAACUCUCCUGAUGUAAACAUAGUACCCUGAUCGGUAGUAAUCAUUUGAGGAAUGCCGAAUCGGUAAACAAUAUGCUCUUUUACAAAAUCAAUCAUAUUGGCGAUGUAACUUUCUUCAAAGGAAUAGCUUCAACCCACUUGGUGAAAUAAUCAGUGGCAACCAAGAUGAACUUAUGCCCUUUGCUUGAUGGUGGGUAAAUCUGGCCGAUUAGAUCAAUGGCCCAUCCCCAGAGCGGCCAAGGUUUAAUAAUGGGAUUCAUGGCCGAUGCGGGUGCCCUUUGAAUAUUGCCAAACUUCUGACAUCCCUGACAUCCUUUGAAAUAUUUAAAACAAUCCUCAAGUAUGGUCGGCCAAUAAUACCCAUUUCUUCUAAUCAUCCAUUUCAUCUUAAAUGCUGAUUGAUGUGCUCCACAUACCCCUUCAUGUAUUUCUCACAUCAAACUUUUAGCUUCAUCAUCACCUAAGCACUUGAGAAGAACCCCAUCGAUCGUUUGGUAAUAAACUUCAUCUUCGAGAAGCACAUACUUGGUAGCUUGAAACCGGACACGCCUCUCAACCUUCUUGGAUGGAUUCUUUAAAUAAUCGAUAAUUUCUUUCCUCCAAUCAUCGGCAUUAAUUGCCGAUACUGUGUUCAAUAUGGGCUGAUAUCCCGAGGCAUGCUGAGCCAACCGAUUAGCCUCCUCAUUAUGCAAUCGAGGAACAUGCUCUAAUCGGAAAUCCUUGAAUUCCCUUAAUUGUUGCAUACUCCUUUCAUAAUAUGUUAUCAGAAUUUCACUUCGGCAUUCAUAACUUCUAGCCAAUUGAUUUAUAACCAGCAUAGAGUCCCCGAAGAUUUCAACAACAUCAGCAUGAACUUCUUUUAAGAACUCUAACCCUUUAAUCUACGUUACACGAGUACGGGUACGGGUAUCUGAUACAAUACGUAUCGGAUACACGGAUACGCACUUUCUCAAAAAAACCCCCACUAAAAUGGUGUAUCCGAGUAUCCGUAUCCGCGUAUCCGACGAGUAUCGGAUACGGAUACGUCACCCCCUUAGAGUAUCCGUGUAACAUAGCCUUUAAUCAAUGCUUGAUACUCGGCUUGAUUAUUCGUCGAUGUGGCAACAAUCGACAAAGAGAACUCAUAUUUCUUUCCCUGAGGGGAAAUUAACACUAUACCUGUAACAGAACCGACCAAAUUAUAAGAGAUUAAGCCUAACAGCGACCAUUUGCAUAGUCAAACCAUCAGGUUUAAGCCCAUAUAAUCCCGGUAGUCCGUGAAAUCUCGAAGGAUUUCAAACCACACAUCGUACAACAGCCAAGAUCGUAAUAAGUUUAGCGGUCACCAUCCACAAAUACAUCCAGAUUACAACAUUCAUAAAAUACAUCGGAGUUCUUAAAAUUAUUACAAACCAAGUUCUUCAAGUAGCGGAAGCUUCAUAGUUCGAAAAUACGACACACACACUUAGUCUGAUACAGUGCCAUAGUUCGGUCAUUCCCACAAAAGCAAAGGAGAAGACGGAGUGACCAUCGCCCUUGGUCUAGUCAUCACCCAUGGGUGGGUACAGACAGAGGAUGCAAUAACCAAAGUACAUUUGACCAUCUGCAAAACUGUUGACGGUCCUUAAGUAUCAAAUUUAAUUAUCAAAUAAACAAAGAAAAGGAUCCAAAUGAAAUCAACAUCUAGACUUAGGGUUUUAUCUGACAGAAUUCCACGAGUUUUGGUGUUUGUCUAUUUCUACAGGGGGUUAUCAGGAAAUAAGGAAGAAAGGCCCACAUGUCAGGAUUACAUAGAGAUAUCAACGCACCGCGCAAUUUUCUACCAUCUAGAAGACUCCAGAAGCCACGAGACCGAAGCGGAGGCGAAACGGGGCCAGGACCUGGGCGCCCGCCCAGUUUCCUUGGGCGCCCGCCCACCUGCCGAGCCCAAUCAGGACUCUUUCUCUCGGGAGAUCUCCACCGACCUAUUGGAUCCAGAAUAACGUAGUACCACAUCGCCUACCGACCCAAAAACGCAUAGAAGGGGAGGACUAUAUAAGGAGACCCCCCUGGCCCCUGGAGAAGACAUGAAGAAAUUAUCAUAGAGAUUGAGGGGUGCCCUCAAAGGAAAACCUCUUCUCUAAUUAAUAUUUCUUUUUAAGCUUAGCAACCAAUGUAAGGUAGAAAUAGAACUUCUAGUUUCUACUAGAUUGAGAGAGAUAGAGUGGAGGUGUUGAUUGGAGGAAGCCCGGCCUGUCGGUGUCUACUCCAAGCUUGUACCUGCGGGAUCAAGUUCUCCUAACCCGAAGCUUGCUCCUAGGAUUCUUCAGUAUUUCGACUUCUAAAUUCUAGUAAGUUCUUGUUUUAUUGUUCUUAUGGUUUAUGAGUUUACUUUAAUCUCUUCGCGUGGAGUUUAGAGUAAUCAUUGCUAGCGUAAACGUGGUGUUUAGGCUGGGGUACUCAUAGAUAUUCCAUGACUAGCUGGACCGUGGUAGUAGUGAGGAACGUGACAAUUCCGAGUUACCUUUGUAGAUCACAUCUCGUUAGCAGGAAGGAUAGGGUUUAUAGGUGCGGGUUGAACAUCCUUUGUGGUGUCUAGAUUCCGUUAGCCUCCCCAUUAGAACAGUAGAUUAUCCUUACCAAGGUUAGAAGGAGACUACGGUUGCAGUCUUCUCUAUUUAUCACUCACAUCGAGAGACAUUCUUUGUAGCCUAAAGAGAUAGUAGCAAUAGAUUUGGUUAGUCAGAUGCACCCUUUCUCCCAGUGGUAAAAAUAUAAAUACGAUAACUCUGGAUAACCUCCCGGGUGAAAUGCUCACCGAUAUUCGUGCGCUUGCGGAUCUUUUCCUUAUUGCGUUACCAAAUAUCAACAAGCAUUUCUGGCGCCGUUGCCGGGGAGAAAGACGGUUUGCUGAGAUAACUUUGAGUCUUGCUAUUAUCUUGUAUUAUACUUUUAUUCUUUUAUCUUUUUAUUUUUAUCUUUAUGGAUAACUCAAAUUCCAUACCUAUUAUUAAAUUCUUUGCACCUUCGGAGACCAGCCAUAGACCAUGGGAGUCAACACGUCCUGCCCCUAAUUAUGAUCUGUGUCCGGAGUUGAUUGCAAUAGGUCAAAACCAACCCUUUUCUAUAGCUGAGGUCCUAUCUUUUAAUCAAAAAGAUAAUGCACUUUUAGCUACACCUAGGGAAUCUUUUAAUCUUUCUAUAAAUUCUGGUUUAGACCUAGCCCUAUAAAUGAGGUCCUAUCUGUUUUUCCUAGAUAUUUUCACAUUGGUCUUAAUCAUAUAACCUUUGGUAGAGUCUUUCUUUCUUUAUCUUUUAGUAAAGGAAGGUAUGUCUUCAUUCAUAGACAUCCUUCUUGCACUAGUCUUCAUAGAAAAAUCUUAGAGAUAGAGAAGGAAUCAUCUCCCAUACAAGGAGAGGAAGUUUCAAUAGCCGAUUUCCAAACAUUUCAAUCCCAUAAUUCGGCUAUCCAAUCCAUCCUUGAGCUUAAUAAUUUCUACUAUGCUUUUUCUCUUGAACCUCCCGAUAAUCCUAUGAAUCUCUCUAGACAUCCCAUGCAUAAGAAGGAGGUUCGAGAAGAGCAACAUCAAUGGCUAGAGGGCAUUAAAAUCCAUGUGCUAUCACCAUUGAAUGGAUAGAUGAAACAAACUUGAGAGACAAUCCUAGAGGAAUUUUAAGCAUUCAUGAAGAAUCAUCCUUGGAGUUUAAGAAUGAGAGAAACAACAAUGAGCAUGGAAGUUAUUUCAUAAAUACCUCACCCAGUCCUUGCUCAUGUAAAACAUCUCUCUAAUCAAUUUGUCUCUCCAUCCUUACCACAUUUGAGAUCUGCAACCCCCUCUUCCUCUUCAUUUAUAAAAACUUUAAAAGGGCGGUUGUCGAUGCAUAUGUCUAUAAUAUAUAUUGCAGAUCUCGUUGAGUUGAUCUUGAUAUAGGUAGGUGUUGGACGGGAAACCACUUCACCAACAUAACUUGAUAGUUUCCCAAGAACAAGCUUAGUGUCCUAAAACAAGCACCUAUUAGAUCACAACAUGAACUUCUAAUUAUUUGCAACAUUGCUUUGUGUAUUGAGCAUAUAAAGAUAAUUGUAGAAAUAUUCCUUCGGGUAUUCUUGUCACUAACCUUUCCAGGAUUGGAGCAAGAAGAUCGGAUGAAUGACAAGCACAGGGUAUGUCCAACCAACCAUCACACAACAUUGAAUUAAAUACAUCCAAACUUGAAUUUUAUAAAAUUCAAGCUUGGGGGAGUACUUUACAUAAAAACAUCUUUUGCCAUGUUGCUACGUUGGUUGUCCUUACCUUUGAGACAUGCUCAAUUUGUUAAAUACUAAUUACACUACUUCAUCUCCACUUAAGUAGAUCUCUAUAAAUGCUCUCAUGCUACCUUUAUUUGCUUUAGUAUAUGUCUAGGUUUGGAAUAGUUUCAUUUAUCUCUUAAUUAAGCAUGGUGCUUAGUUUAGGAAUGAUGAUCUUACUUCCAAGGGGUUUUAAAUUAAGCAUGGUGCUUAGGUUAAAAUGCCCUUCUAAAUCAAAUUAGACAUGGUGUCUAGGUUGAUUUUUAAGCCGAUAGUAUGCUAUAGUAGAUAGGGGAUAUUUUGUUGGACUAACCCCUGCAGGAAAACUUUCAAUAUCAACCUGGGAAGUCCUGAGAUAAACUCGCAUUGGAGAUGAAGAAAGUGACACAUGAAGUUUAAAAAUUUGCACAAGAAAGACGUGGCUCAUAAGAGAUGAUUCAUGGAGGGUGCCACAAACACGAUGCACAACCGCUAAGAAAGGAAAGCUUCCACAAGGUGAUACUGUACCGUCACUCUUCAAGUAAGGUAACACCUUAAGGUACUUGACUAUCGCUUUUAUAAGUUUCUCCUUGGUUCUAGCAUUCACAUAAAUAAAGAGACAAACAUGUAUGAUUUGUAACUCCAGAUUAACCAACACAAUUAAUUCAACAUGUUUAGUCCUUUAAUCUUUGUUCUUAGUACUACCCUCGUGAUCCCACGCUCCUAAACAUAUAAGCUAAUAUGUUGCACAUUCAAUAUUUGGAAGAUAUAAACAAAACAUAAAUAUAGAUAGAUUAUCUUUCCAUUAGGUUGAGCCAUCUGAUCUGACAAAUGUUUCAAAUACUACACUCAUGAUCUUAUUAUCCAUCAACUUUGUCUUGCUCACUAUGCUUAAGGUUAGAGAAGAACAAAUACACUUUUGGUUCUGUUGGUGUUUUCCACCAACAGAGCCCAUGCACUUGAUCUCUGCCUUGUCUCUAUGAACAGGUACACUUCAAGCAAAACAUGGAGGAGUUUUAGAACUCCCAGACUCCACCAAGUGAAGAACCUAGAUCUAUGAGCACAAACACACUGAGCAGGAUAUUGCCAACACCAUACUUCGAACUGCUGGGCAAAGAAGAACAUGGGUGACACCGUAUCAAGAGGUGCGGACUUCAAGGUCCACACCUAAUUAAAUGAUGCACCUAAAGGAUGAAGAUGGUGGAAAGUCUUGUCCAGAAGACUUAAAACAUUGGAUCCUUGUCGGAAGAGGUCAACAUCGUCGACUCAGGUCACCUUUCUUGAUCAAGAAGGACGACCCUGGUGUUCCAAGCAUUGAGUGCGCAAUCAAUGGAUACUCUUUUUAGAAGACACUCUACGACACCGGAUCUGACGACAACAUAAUGGCCGCAGUCACUUAUCAGCUCCUGCAUGGAACCAUGCCCCUACAACCAAUAUAUUCAGCUCCAGAUGAUUUUCAGGUCAUUGACAUGGGAGAAGACGAAUAUGAUCCACCCACCAUCCUUGGAAGACCGUUCCUCAACACUAUCAAAGCAAUCAUCUACAUUGGAACCAGAGAAGUCCACAUGCACUUCCCCUCUGAGAAGGUACGCAACUAUUUUACUGACCAUAACUAUAUAGUUGAAGACUCUAAGUAGGUCAGGACAAGAAGACGACGCAACCGCAACCAAGAGGAGGCAAAUCAUCAAGAACGGAUGGGUAGACUACGAAGGAAAAGUGAUAAGGACUGAAGUCAUACAGCUUGAACAGAACUGUCCUGAGGAGACCGUAGCACCGAGUCAGGUGUGGAGGGAGAAGAUAGUUAUACACAAAGAGAGGCGCCGCCGGAAUCACCGACUACGCCACCUAGCGAAUCCCAGGACGACUGAGAAAACAGAGAGUCCCGUUCGGAGGACAUAAAAAUACCGAACGUCUUGCCAAGAGGUAAACUUGGUAGUUAUCCUUUUCCUUUCAAUUAUUCAAUUAUAGUUUGCUUAGUUAAUCAGGUUCAUGCUAUCUUGAAAAGAAAAUAAAAAUAUUAAAAAAAUAGUAAGCCCCAUGUGAGUAUGCUCAUAAGUACAUUCACUGUGGUGGCAUAAAAAUAAAAUAAAUAAGUUUUCAUCUUAUAAUAAAAAUAUAUAAAAAAAUAAUAUAUAUAAUAAUAAUAAGUGUAUGGUCCUGCUAAAUAAAUAACAUUUAUUAAGGAUGCUCAACAUGAUGAAGGCUAGAUAUUUAUGCUAACACUUAAUUAGUUCCACAAGCUUUGUUGUCUAUUUGAGCUCCACAGAAUUUAAGAAUCAAGAAGACUAGCAGACGGAGGACAUUCUAAUCGCUGUCAGAAUGCUGCUGACUUUCAAAUACACCUCUGCCACCUGCUAGCUACAUCAAGAGAAAUUACGUCAAAAUUCAGCUUGGGGGAGAGCACCCCCAUUUAUCUCGCUAAGUAUUUCUAUCUAUCUUUAUACUUAUAUUAUGUUAGAAUAUUAAAAUACAUAAACUAUGAAAAACCAAAUAAAGAUUUUGUGCUUAUAUAUAUCUUUUGCUUAGUAUGUUUAAUAAAUAAAUAAAGUGGCUAUGCUAAUCUGAAUCUUAAUAAUAAAACUCUAGCAUGGAUAUGAUGAAUAGUUGCUCUGCCUAAUUUGCAAUUUUGAAGUUCCCUCUCAAGUUUAGACAUAACUGUUAUAAUUUAAAGCUUGCUCUAGAUCUAAACUUGUGGGAUGAAAACUUGAUCUGAAAUCUAAGUUGUUAACGGAUAUGAUAUGGGAAGGUUGAGCUGCUGUUUAUCUGUUCCUAGAGAUGCUAGAAUUCUGGAGAAUUUUAUCUUUGAAAAUCUUUGAAAUGUUGCAUGAUGAGUUCCUGUAUGAUGAGAGUUUAAAAUCCUACCACAGCCAUAUGUACAUGCUUGCUAGACUUUGAGCCACACAUUUACUAUUUACUGCUUAUGAGCAUUAAGUGUGGUCAAGCUGUGUAGACCCUUAGGAGCUUGUCAUGUGGUUAAAUCAAGAUUCACUUGCACGUUCACUCAUAUAUGCUACUUCUACUCCGGAAGUACCAUCCACAUAUAUCCAUCCAUUUCCAUCUCCAGAAUUACCCAAAAAUAUUCUACUCCUAAUCCGGGAGAGAAUAGUCAAAAACAUUUUCCUAUCCCUGUUAUUCCCUAUGAAAUAAAUGCUCCAAAUAUUUUGGUUACUACCACUUGCUAUAUUAUCUCAAGAGAUGAGUGCUCUGGAAAAAAAAGAAAGAAAAGAGAAGAAAAAGAAAUAUAAACGAGGAAAUAAAAAGGGGCAAGUGCCCGGAACCUCGAAAGAAAGAAAAAGUGAGACGAGAGGUAAAAAUGGACAAGUGUCCGACAGUAGAAUUAGGGGUACAAGAUACCCACCUGAGAGGAAAGAAAAAGAAGAGCAUCUCAUUCUCCUCAUAAAGUUUCAAAAAGCAAGAAGGUAUGUAUCCCCUCAAAAGAGCAAAAGUAGAAUUAGACUUUCACCAUUGUUAUUACGAUCAUCACCAUACACCAUUUAUUCGCCACACAUGCACAUCUUGAUUUGGCUUAUUGAUUUGUUUCUCUGGAUCCAUGGUUUGACUAUGCAAUAAAUGUCUUGUAAGUAUGUAUUAGCUGUCUCCCACCUAUGAGCUCCAGAUAUCAAGCCUUAUUAGAGUAGGGUGAGAGAGAAGGUAUUAUCACUAUGCAUUAUACCAAAAAUACCACAUACUUUGAGAGAAGGCAUAUACCAUUACUGCCUUGGUAAGGAUCCAGAAAUACCAUAAAAGAGAGACUAGAGAGAGUCAUACAAGGAAUCUCUGAGUUUUAUUUGAAAAUCUACAAAAAAAAAACCCAGAGCUAUAGCUGAUCAAGAAUAAGAGACAUGGCACUUGGCUAGACUAUUCUAUCUUUUAACCUCUCAAGACAGAAGUGACGGUUACAAGUCCCAUGGUGAAGGUAAAGUAAGUUUUAAGUGUUGACAAAAAGCAUGUGUACCGUCAAUUUUUAAAGAUAUUGCAACAACUUCUAAUCCAUUGCUAUGUCUAUCCUUGCUCAGGGAUGAGCAAAAGGUAAGCUUGGGGGAGUUUGUUGACGGUCCUUAAGUAUCAAAUUUAAUUAUCAAAUAAACAAAGAAAAGGAUCCAAAUGAAAUCAACAUCUAGACUUAGGGUUUUAUCUGACAGAAUUCCACGAGUUUUGGUGUUUGUCUAUUUCUAUAGGGGGUUAUCAGGAAAUAAGGAAGAAAGGCCCACAUGUCAGGAUUACAUAGAGAUAUCAACGCACCGCGCAAUUUUCUACCAUCUAGAAGACUCCAGAAGCCACGAGACUAAAGCAGAGGCGAAACGGGGCCAGGACCUGGGCGCCCGCCCACCUGCCUUGCCCAAUCAGGACUCUUUCUCUCGGGAGAUCUCCACCGACUUUUUGGAUCCAGAAUAACGUAGUACCACAUCGCCUACCGACCCAAAAAUGCAUAGAAGGGGAGGACUAUAUAAGGAGACCCCCCUGGCCCCUGGAGAAGACAUGAAGAAAUUAUCAUAGAGAUUGGGGGGUGCCCUCAAAGGAAAACCUCUUCUCUAAUUAAUAUUUCUUUUUAAGCUUAGCAACCAAUGUAAGGUAGAAAUAGAUCUUCUAGUUUCUACUAGAUUGAGAGAGAUAGAGUGGAGGUGUUGAUUGGAGGAAGCCCGGCUUGUCGGUGUCUACUCCAAGCUUGUACCUGCGGGAUCAAGUUCUCCUAACCCGAAGCUUGCUCCUAGGAUUCUUCAGUAUUUCGACUUCUAAAUUCUAGUAAGUUCUUGUUUUAUUGUUCUUAUGGUUUAUGAGUUUACUUUAAUCUCUUCGCGUAGAGUUUAGAGUAAUCAUUGCUGGCGUAAACGUGGUGUUUAGGCUGGGGUACUCAUAGAUAUUCCCUGACUAGCUGGACCGUGGCAGUAGUGAGGAACGUGACAAUUCCGAGUUACCUUUGCAGAUCACAUCUCGUUAGCAGGAAGGAUAGGGUUUAUAGGUGCGGCUUGAACAUCCUUUGUGGUGUCUAGAUUCCGUUAGCCUCCCCAUUAGAACAGUAGAUUAUCCUUACCAAGGUUAGAAGGAGACUACGGUUGCAGUCUUCUCUAUUUAUCACUCACAUCGAGAGACAUUCUUUGUAGCCUAAAGGGAUAGUAGCAAUAGAUUUGGUUAGUCAGAUGCACCCUUUCUCCCAGUGGUAAAAAUAUAAAUACGAUAACUCUGGAUAACCUCCCGGGUGAAAUGCUCACCGAUAUCCGUGCGCUUGCGGAUCAUUUCCUUAUUGCGUUACCAAAUAUCAACAAAAACAACAUGGGAGUAGAACCCUGAGUACGAGAAGGUACUCAGCUAGACUUACCCGUCAUAAAUUAAAAUAAAGACUCUUCAAGGAUCAUGAAGGCUAUAUAGUGGGGUAGCUGACAACCAUUUUGCAAAACUGCAGAAAUCUAUUAUCAUGACCAAUGUAAAUCUUUCUUCUUUUAAUUUGCUCAAGUUGAAAGUAUUAUUACCUAAUAUCUAGGUUUGCACCUGCACUAUCACAAGCAAGUAUAGCGAUAUGAUAGUACCUCAUCAUAGCAUUUCUUAAAACCAAUCAUCAUUAUAACCCAAGUGUUCCAUAGUCCUUACUACGAGGACAAGGCUCAUGUCAAGUGCUCACUAUCCAGGAGCGAUGGCGAUUCGAAUCGAUUUCUAACCAGCUGGCGAGGUAUUCCCCACACAAACCACACUCACGGAUCAAGUGAGCUACAGAUCACCGUAUUACACUAUCCAGGACCAAUUCACGGGUUCGGCAGGCACUGCCAGUACCCGAGGACCGUCCCGGCGACCGAGGUAUCCAGGGUAUACCAAGGUUGCGCGCCGCGCCCUCGUCGUUCUCCUCAACCAUCACCAAUACAGCGCAUGGCGGCUCGAUUCCCGGCCCGGAUAGUGUUCAGCCUUCGCGGUCGGAACGACUUAUCCUUCCAGCUUAGUGUGGGGCAUGCGUUCAACAUGACAAGAGGGCCGUCAACGAUCGGUCCUUAAUCGACUCAGGCAGGGGCACUAUAGUCACCCACCAUAAGACCCUACCCGGUCUCCAAUUCCAUUCCACACUUGGUUAUUCUUUUCCCAAAGAAAUCACUGCUUGAAUAAACAGGCAUCCACCUAUAUCUCGCAGGUGACAGGAAAUCACCCGACUUCUACCGGGGCUAGGCAAGCUAAGCAUAGACUUCGCACCUAUCUACAUAGGACAAGGUAGAUAAACGAGGGGUGAUAUCAAGGAGUACCAAUGCACCAACGGUAUCAACCAACUCCUAUCACUUAAAUGCAAUAUAGUAAAACAAGCAUAGUAUAUCCUGUAAGUUAGCGACAAAUAGGGAGACUUAGAAUGCUCCGGGGCUUGCCUUUCUCAAACGUGCUGGGUCGGUGAUCCGGACACUCCUGUAGUUCCUCUUCGGACUCCUGUGCUUCCGGAGGUUCCGGCUCCUGAAUCUCCUCUGGCUCCUCGGGUCCCACAUCGUUCUCCUGCGAGCCUCUAUGAUGCAUGUGUGCUCAUGAGUGGAGUGCGAGAUGCCGGAGUGGAUGCUUGUAUGAGAAAGUACCAAAGGGUCAUGACAUGAUGCGUAGGCGAUUUAAUUGGUCAUGCUCUUUACAAGGUAGUCAACAUCAUGCAAGAGUAAGCAAUUGAAUUAAACAUCUAGUGCAUUCUCUUCUACAAUUAUUUUUUUUAAGUGUGACCAGUAACCCACAAGUUGCUUCAAAGAUACACCAAACCCAAACUUAUUCUAUUCAACCUAUAUAUACAACAAUCCAUAAUUUUCUUUAUUCAUUUCUAGGCCCAUUAAAAUUUACAUGCAGUUCUGUUCAUCAAUAAAUUCCACAAAAAUUAAAGGAGACUAGCAGCCAAGCAUAAAGUCUACUGUAAAUUUUUCAUAAUUUUUGGAUACAUAUUUUGAGCUGCAAAAAUCACAAGAUUAAUUAAUAAGGUAAGUAUAAUUACUCCACUGUGAUAUAAGUGUCAAACAACAGCUUUCAUAUUUUUACAAUUUGUCUAAUAUCAUAAGAAACAUCCACAAAAAUUUCCAGAUUAAUUGCAUGAUCCAAUUAAUUAUUAAAAAUCAUAAACCACUGCCAUGCAAGCAUUUAAAUUACCAUAAAUUCAUUUAUACACCAAAUAAUGUAUAGAAAUAUUUUCCCAGUGAGUUAACAUACAUGCAGAGCCAACAAAUCAAGUUUCACAUUUUUCUGAACCAUAUUUUAAUUACUAUGCAUUUUCCAACUUUAGCAAAAACAUAGAUUACAUAUAUUCAUACAGAAAAGUUACUCAAACAUGACAUGCAAUUGCAUCAAACUGUAGAUCUGGAAAUAUAGAACACACCAAAACUUAUUUCAUCAAAUUUGGAGCUGUAGAACUCAAGAUAUGAAUUUUACAAGUUUUGAAUCAAUUUCUAGAAAACAUUUAUUUAAGAAAACCGACGCAAAAGGCUAAACACACCAGGAUCUACACCCACCGCAGUCCCCCUGCGACUGACAGUGGGCCUCUGACCCCACUGGUCAGCGAGACCGAGGGGGAGCACACCUCCGACGAGCAGAUCUCGCCGGCGGUGAGGUCUCCGGCCACGGGGUGAGCACCAUCGUGCUCCCCGCAGCGAGACGCACACAGCGGUACCCUCGGAUUGACCGGAGGAUGGCCGGAGCACCUCCGACGAGCGUGCAUGGCGGCACGGCGGCGCUGCUCGCCGUGGCCAGGCCGCUCCGGCGCGGUAGAGCGCGCGCAAACGUCUCUCCGAGCUUCCUCACCACCCUACCGACCUAGCGCAACCAAGAACCAGCGAAAAGAGGCAGGGAAACGCAAGAUCCGACGCGGCGGAGUACUCCGGCGAGCUCGGGGUAACUCCGGCGAGCGAUUCACGGCGCUCGACGGACUCUCACCUCGGUAGAACGCUCGCAGGAGCUUACCCUAACGAUGGCGAACGCGCCGGUGGUUUCGGUGUCGAGGUUUGGCCACUGGGUGGCCGGCGGUGAGCAGCGGAGCUGCUCCGGCGAUGGCGCUACGGCGGAGUUGCUGCGGCUGCGCUGCGCGAGCGGAGGGAGGAGGAGGAAGAGGGGCGCGCGACAGAGUGGAGCGAAUGGCUUGGGAGCCCGAGCCGGCAUCCCGACCAGGGGGGUGUAGGUAGCCGGCCGCGGCGCGCUCCUCACCGACGUACGGCCGCCACAUGGCCGACGCUGGCUGGGACGAGGCGCGUCCACGCGCGCGGGAGAGAGGGGGAGGGGGAAGCAGGCCGGGCCGCUCGCUGGGCCGAAAGGGAGGCGAGGUUGGCCCGGCAGCGCCUGCCCCUUUUCCAUUUUUUUUUUGAAUUUCUUUUCUCAAAUUCUUUUCUAAAUUCAUUGGGACCAAUUUGAAAUCAUUUUCACCUCUUGCCCCCAAAAGCAAAGUUGUUCCAAAACAAGAACCCUACAACUUUGUUUUAAUAAGCAAGACCAAAUUCCAAACAGAAUUUGAAGUACAAAUUAAAACUAGUUCUAUGUUUUCAAAUAAAUUCAAUUUGGGGAUUUUUGUAUAAAUUCCAUUUCUCAAAUUCUAUAGCUCCAAAAAUUACACAAAAAUGUUCUUAAUUCUUCUUACACAUAAAUCAAUCUAGUUUGAAUAUUUCACAAUUUUAGAAGCAAGCAUCAUAUUUUUAGCAUAUUUAAAGCACAUGAAAUAAAGCACAUAAAAUCAUGUUUUGGGAUGAAUGACAUGCUCAUGAUGCUAUGCUUGAUGAGAAUGCUUAUGAAUGUUUUGAUAGGACUAAAUGCAUGCUUAACACCUAGGGUGUUACAGCCCUUCCCCCCUUAGGGAAAUCUCGUCCCGAGAUUUUGGGUUACUAACCAUUUCUUAUGAAAUUUUGGAUAAACUGUUUUUAGAUAAUCCUCAGUUUCCCAGGUGGCAUCCCGAUCGUCAUGAUGACUCCACACCACCUUGUAUGUUCUGACAAUUCUGUUUCGGGUUACUCGUUCCUUGGUAUCCACAAUUCCCACUGGCUGCUCCUUAUACUCUAAGUCUGCUUUUAUCUUGAUCCCUCUAGGUUCAAUUCUUUGUUCAGGCACUUUCAAACAUUUUCGUAGUUGCGACACAUGAAAGACCGGAAAGACUGAGCUCAACUCUUCAGGUAACUGAAUCUUGUAGGCCACGGGCCCUUUUCUCUCCAGCACUUGAUACGGUCCCACAUACCUGGGUGCAAGCUUGCUUGGAACUCGAAAACGUUGAACUUUCUUCAUUGGCGUAACUUUGAGAUACACAUAGUCACCUACGUUGAAUUCAAGUGGCCUCCGCCUCUUAUCAGCAUAACUCUUUUGUCGUGAUUGUGCUGCUUGGAUAUGCUGCUGUAUGAUUUGCACCUUCUUCUCGGCCUCAUUCACAAAGUCGAUACCAUAGUAUCUUCUCUCACCAGGUUCAACCCAGUUUAACGGAGUUCUACACCUCCGACCAUACAAGGCUUCGAACGUGGCCAUCUUGAAGCUCUCUUGAUAACUAUUAUUGUAUGAGAAUUCAGCCAGAGGUAACCAUGAUUCCCAUGAUCCUUUGGAUGAUAGCACACAAGCCCUUAGCAUAUCUUCUAACACUUGAUUUAGCCUCUCAGUUUGGCCUGAAGUCUGGGGAUGAUAUGCCGUGCUUCUUAUCAGACUGGUCCCCAAACUCUUAUGCAUUCGCUCCUAGAAGUGAGCGGUGAACUGCGGUCCUCUAUCCGAUAUGAUGGUCUUGGGAAUACCAUGCAACUUGACAAUCUCAGCCAUAUAUAUGUCGGCAUACUCAGGAGGUCGGUAUCGAGUCUUCACAAGAAUGAAAUGGGCCGAUUUGGUCAAUCGAUCUAUGAUUACCCAAAUCGAGUCAUUCCCCUUCCUUGUCGUUGGUAAACCCGUGAUAAAGUCCAUACUGACCUCUUCCCAUUUCCACUCUGGAAUUGAUAAUGGCUGCAACAGACCUGCAGGCUUCAUGUGGAUGGCCUUAACUCUACAACACGUGUCACAACGGGCUACAUAUGCGGCUAUUUCUUUCUUCAUCUUGGUCCACCAAAAGUGGGGUCUCAGGUCCUGAUACAUUUUACUGCUGCCAAGAUGAAUAGAAAGCUUUGAGAGAUGGGCUUCAUCCAUGAUACGAUUCUUCAAUUCACGAUCUUUUGGGACUACUAACCGAUGUUGAAACCACAGUACCCCUUUCUCAUCAACUCGAAAUUGAGUUUUUGGGUCAUCUUUGAUCUUCUCUUUGAUGUGGAAAAUACCCUUGUCUGUUUUCUGACCGUCAAUGACUUGACUCUCGAGUGAACAACUGAGCUGUAUAUGGCACAAGACCUCAGGAUGCAUGAGAUUGAACCCAUCUUCAAACAACGGUUGAACCACUUGAUAAUGCGGUUUACGACUCAAAGUGUCUGCUACCACAUUAGCCUUGCCUGGAUGAUAGUGAACCUCCAAAUCAUAGUCCUUGAUUAGCUCUAACCACCGUCGUUGCCUCAUAUUCAGCUCGGACUGAGUGAAGAUGUACUUCAAGCUCUUAUGAUCGGUAUAGAUGUGACACUUAUUCCCCAGCAGAUAAUGUCUCCAAAUCUUCAAAGCGUGCACUACUGCGGCUAACUCGAGGUUGUGAGUUGGGUAGUUGACUUCAUGCUUUCUUAGCUGUCGUGAAGCAUAAGCUAUCACCCUGCCAUCUUGCAUCAACACACACCCCAAGCCACUCUUCGAUGCAUCACAAAACACAUCAAAAGGCUUCUCUAUAUUGGGUUGUGCCAGAACAGGUGCACUGGUUAGCAACUUUCGUAAGGUGCGGAAGACUAACUCACACCCUUCCGUCCAGACAAACUUAUGAUCCUUUUGUAGCAAACUUGUCAUUGGUUUAGCAAUCUUGGAAAAGUCAGGUAUGAAACGACGAUAAUACCCAGCCAGACCAAGAAAACUUCUAACUUUCGAGACAGAAGUUGGUGCCUUCCAGUCCAUAACCUCCUGCACUUUUGACGGAUCCACAGCAAUCCCUUCUUCAGACAGAAUGUGCCCUAGGAAAGGAACUUUCUUCAACCAGAACUCACACUUGCUGAAGUUGGCGUAUAACUGAUGCUCUCGUAAUCGUGUAAGCUCGAUUCUCAGAUGCUCGGCGUGAUCUUGCUCAUUUUCUGAAUAAAUCAGAAUAUCAUCGAUAAACACCACAACAAACUUAUCCAAUUCUGGCAUAAAGACUGAAUUCAUCAGAUACAUAAAGUAUGCAGGAGCAUUUGUCAACCCAAAGGACAUGACAAGAUACUCAUACAACCCAUAUCUUGUGGAAAAAGCAGUCUUCGGGAUAUCUUGCGGACGAAUCUUGAUUUGGUGAUACCCAGACCUCAAAUAUAUCUUGGAAAACACUCUUGCCUUGGAUAACUGAUCAAACAGGAUAUCAAUCCUCGGCAAAGGAUACUUAUUCUUGAUUGUCACUACAUUGAGUGGACGAUAGUCCAUGCACAUGCGCAACGACUGAUCCUUCUUUUUCACAAAUAACGCCGGACAACCCCAUUCCGACGAACUUGGCCGGAUGAAUCCUUUAUCCAGCAACUCCUUUAGUUGAUUUUUCAACUCGGCGAGUUCGUUUGGUGGCAUCCGGUAUGGCCUUCUAGAUAUUGGUGCUGUACCUGGUAUCAACUCGAUUGCAAACUCUACUUCCCUAUCUGGAGGAAGUCCUGGUAAUUCCUCGGGAAAAACAUCAGGGAACUCACAGACCACUGGGAUCUAUGGCAAUGGAACCACGUGCGUAGCACAAGAGAUGCUAGCGAAGUCGAGACGACGGGGCAGAGGCUCUUGAAAAGAGCUACUGCCCUGCGGUUCUCUGAGAGAUAACAUCCUCUUCCCAGUAUCUAUGACGGCAUCCCAUUCUCUCAUCCAGUUCAUGCCCAUGAUAACAUCCAAAACUAACCCAGGCAUGACCACUAGAUUUACCCGAAAAAUUCGGUCACUUAUAUCCAGGGUUGCCCCUCGAACCACUCUAUUGGUCAACACAACUGCCCCUGCUGAGCUGAUGCGGUAGCCAUAACCUAGAUCUGUAACCGGUUGACUAUGCUUUUGUGCAAAUGCUUGGCUCAUGAAUGAAUGCGAUGAUCCAGAAUCAAACAAAACAACUGCAAGAUGUUGGUUGACAGGGAACAUACCAGCUGUUACCGGUUCUCCUUCCGGAAUUUCCUCGAUCGAGGUAUGGUGCACACGAGCUGGAUAGGUUGGUUGCUGCCUCUUGGGGUAGGGACAUUCCUUAGCAAAGUGCCCCAUCUUGUGGCAGUUGUAGCACGGACCCUUGGGCGCAUUAUUGGCGGCAAGUGUUGCAGCUUGAAUUGCCUUUGGCUUGGCAGGGGCUAUCGCCACCUUGUACGGCUUCUGCUGCGUUGGAUGCCCGGUGUUCUGCGGCGGUCAGAACCUAGCACCUGGGGCAGGAGGAUGAUACUGCUGUCGCCCUGUCACGGGUGCGCUGGACUGGGAUGAUCCGGCUUCAAAAGCCCUCUUACGUGACUUGGAUGCACUGUAGUUGUUGUUAUUGUUCUCCUGGGUCAGACAGUCACUGAUAUAGGCAUUGAAGGUAGCUCUAGCUCCUGUACCCAUGGUCUUUAGCAUCUUUGGAUUUAAGCCUCUCUGGAAACUAGCAAUCUUCUUGGCCUCCGUGUUCACAAACUCGGGGGCAUAGCGAGCGAGAUUGUUGAAAGCGUGUAGAUACUUCUUCACAGAUUUCGUCCCCUGGGACAACCUCAUGAACUCCCCGAUCUUCAUUUCAACUAAACCUGGAGGAAUAUAAUUUCCCUGAAAAGUGGUGGUGAAGCGGUUCUAGGUAAUUGGGGUCCCCUCUGGGUAGGUGGUACGGUGAUGGGACCACCAAAUUCCAGUGGGUCCUUGCAACUGAUGUGCCGCAUACUCAGCCUUAAGUUCUUCCGUCAUUCGAAGAAGACGAAACUUUUGCUCCAUGGUGUUGAUCCACUCAUCCGCCUCGAGCAGUUCCAAAGUCUCUUUGAAGAUUGGUGGCUUGGUAUCCAUGAAGUCCUUGAACGAACUGUACUGAUUGACUUCUCGGCCGCCCUGGUUAUCCCCACGACAGGUGUUGUCAGCUAUGUUGCGCAGAGCUUCUUCCAUAUUGCGCUGCAUCUGUUCCAUGUUGCGUUGGCUCCCUAGAAACUGCGCGAAAAACACAUCCGCAGUGUACGGAGGAGGCGGCGGUGGUGGUGGUGUUGGUACUCUGUCCUCAUUCCGCUGAGCCCCACCUCCGGACGUGCCUGCUCCAAGACCCGGAUUACUGUUACCCCCGCCUCGCGUUUGCACCAUCUGCAUACGUGAAUGAUAAGCAAUAGUUAGGAGUUGCCAUCAAUGGUAGACAGGUGUAGAAUUAUGCCGCACUGAAUUUACUGAGGGAAUAAAUCCGCACAAUAAAUAGAGGCACAACAAUUCAUCAUCCACGCACAACAUCACUAGCAUAUUACUUAUCGUUCAAGCAACAAGGUCCGCAUACAUCCAACUUGCCAGCAUACAUACACUGGACUUUCAACGUUAACUCAUAAGUCUUACAUAGCCCAGAUCCAAAAGUACAAGACGUGCCAUGCAGUAUACAACAACAAAAGUAGAAGGACUAGCUCUAGAGCCCUAGCAUCUACUCGCUAUGGUAACUGUCCAUGCCAGAGCCAUCCUCAUCCUCAUCUCCACUAGCAGCUGCUCCUAUCUCGGGAUCCUCAUCCAUCUCAUCCCCAGAGUCUAGCUCAGCUGCUCCAGGCAGGUGGUGAGGGUGAAGCUGGUUAUGCAGCUGGUGGAUCUCCUCAUGCAAGUUCUCAUUGUACUCCUCGGCAUUAGCUAGCUGCUGCUCUAGCUCUAGCUAUCGGGACCUCAAAGUGUCCUCCUCGUGCCAGGCUUCAUUCCUCUGACCAAGCACAUGGACUAGCAUGCGCUCGCAGUUCCUGUGAGCAGUAGUCACCCUAUCUCUCUGCUCCCGCACAGCAAGCAGGUCCUGGCUCAGCUCACUGUUCUUCUGGACUAUCUGGUCUCUCUCUCUGGUCACACGGGCCAACUCUGCCUGUAGCCUCUCAACCUCAGAGUCGGACUCAUGCUGCAACUGACGCUUCUCAUCCUGGACGGUGAGAAGAGACCCGGACAAGCGACCCAAACAACGCUCUAGGCCUCCAUAGGUCUUCAUCAACGCAUACAUGGCACUCAUAGCUGCACUGUCACUGUGCUGGUCCUCAUCCGCACUCCUCUCUAGAGCGCUCACCUCGGACUGAUCCCACACCGAAGUGUAGGGGUCACCCCAGGGAAACACCCCAGCGAAGGCGUGGGCCAGCUCCUGUGGAAACCUCUCCAUGAGGACCCUCAGAACUACGAAAGUUGCCCUGCUGGCACUGUGGAAAGGCGUGAUACCUCGGGACUCGUACACCCAGCCGCCCCAAGCGGGGUCUCCCCCACUGGUAGGGACAACUGCCUCGAUCCCCACCAGCGUCUCGUCACCAAGCGGCUCCUUGUCCCAAUAAUAGCGAGGCUCCCUUCCUUCAGGAUACCCCAUCGAGCUGAGCACUCUCCAAGCAAAGUGGGCAUCCCAAACUCCUCCAGGAACUUGCUCUUAUGUCGUGAGCUCCUAGCCGCCAACGGAUGGCGAGGGGCUCGCCCACCAGUGGACUUGCGAGCAGUGAGCCUAGUGCGUGCCAUCUGCUGCAAAUGGAAUACCUUGGGUAAGAGCGAGGAUUACCUUUGAUUAUUUUAUUUAGAAUUGGGACAGAUCAAAUUAAGGGGGAAAGUGAGCAAUGAUAUGAGAAGAACAUGGUGCAUGCACGAACUUACGAUCUCACAAACUUAGAAACAGAAGUUAACACUAAGCGGUAUAUGCGGUGGCACACAACGUUCUCUCAUAACGUAACUAACGUUCUAAGCGAGAACGUGGUCAGUGUACCUGCAGAAAACUCAUUUCAGCCCACCUACAGUAUGAUUGUACAGAACAAGAAUUUUAAAACUAUACACUCCACAUACACAGACACCGGUCCAUGCAUAUGACGUGUUACUACCCACAUCAUCGCCCUAAUGACGGCAUCGCCUCUCAGGACAGAAUUCCCAACAUGUGGUACUGUUCCCAAGAUACACCAAAACAUGUGUGCAUGACACAGCACCUAACAACACUCCCCUAGACCGGCAGUGUAUCCGAUCAUGCUCUCACAGCUCCCACUUACCGUGGCGUAGAGAAAAAAUGGAUCCAUACAUUACCACUCAAAUGAAUGGCACUCAUACUAUUGCACGCCGUAUGAGCGACGAAAUAAAAAUAUGAUGCAUUAACCCCCAAGUUAGUACUUAACUAGCCACCUUAGAGUCCUUAACUGGGCAUAAAGGAUAUGACCAUGGCACACUAGAUAGUUUUCCCAAAACUUAGUUUAACACCUUGAUCAUCAUUAAUUAAUAAAAAUCUUUUAUUAAACCGGUUUAGAUUUUUAUUUAGAACAUACUUAUGAACAGUAACUCGCUAAACCUUGCUCCGAUGCCAGCUGUAACAGAACCGACCAAAUUAUAAGAGAUUAAGCCUAACAGCGACCAUUUGCAUAGUCAAACCAUCAGGCUUAAGCCCAUAUAAUCCUGGUAGUCCGUGAAAUCUCGAAGGAUUUCAAACCACACAUCGUACAACAGCCAAGAUCGUAAUAAGUUUAGCGGUCACCAUCCACAAAUACAUCCAGAUUACAACAUUCAUAAAAUACAUCGGAGUUCUUAAAAUUAUUACAAACCAAGAUCUUCAAGUAACGGAAGCUUCAUAGUUCGAAAAUACGACACACACACUUAGUCUGAUACAGUGCCAUAGUUCGGUCAUUCCCACAAAGGCAAAAGAGAAGACGGAGUGACCAUCGCCCUUGGUCUAGUCAUCACCCAUGGUUGGGUACAGACAGAGGAUGCAAUAACCAAAGUACAUUUGACCAUCUGCAAAACAACAUGGGAGUAGAACCCUGAGUACGAGAAGGUACUCAGCUUGACUUACCCGUCAUAAAUUAAAAUAAAGACUCUUCAAGGAUCAUGAAGGCUAUAUAGUGGGGUAGCUGACAACCAUUUUGCAAAACUGCAGAAAUCUAUUAUCAUGACCUACGUAAAUCUUUCUUCUUUUAAUUUGCUCAAGUUGAAAGUAUUAUUACCUAAUAUCUAGGUUUGCUCCUGCACUAUCACAAGCAAGUAUAGCGAUGUGAUAGUACCUCAUCAUAGCAUUUCUUAAAACCAAUCAUCAUUAUAACCCAAGUGUUCCAUAGUCCUUACUACGAGGACAGGGCUCAUGUCAAGUGCUCACUAUCCAGGAGCGAUGGCGAUUCGAAUCGAUUUCUAACCAGCUGGCGAGGUAUUCCCCACACAAACCACACUCAUGGAUCAAGUGAGCUACAGAUCACCUGUAUUACACUAUCCAGGACCAAUUUGCGGGUUCGGCAGGCACCGCCAGUACCCGAGGACCGUUCCGGCGACUGAGGUAUCCAGGGUAUACCAAGGUUGCGCACCGCGCCCUCGUCGUUCUCCUCAACCAUCACCAAUACAGCGCAUGGCGGCUCGAUUCCCGGCCCGGAUAGUGUUCAGGCUUCGCGGUCGGAAUAACUUAUCCUUCCAGCUAAGUGUGGGGCAUGCGUUCAACAUGACAAGAGGGCCGUCAAUGAUCGGUCCUUAAUCGACUCAGGCAGGGGCACUAUAGUCACCCACCAUAAGACCCUGCCCGGUCUCCAAUUCCAUUCCACACUUGGUUAUUCUUUUUCCAAAGAAAUCACUGCUUGAAUAAACCGCCAUCCACCUAUAUCUCGCAGGUGACAGGAAAUCACCCGACUUCUACCGGGGCUAAGCAAGCUAAGCAUAGACUUCGCACCUAUCUACAUAGGACAAGGUAGAUAAACGAGGGGUGAUAUCAAGGAGUACCAAUGCACCAACGGUAUCAACCAACUCCUAUCACUUAAAUGCAAUAUAGUAAAACAAGCAUAGUAUAUCCUGUAAGUUAGCGACAAAUAGGGAGACUUAGAAUGCUCCGGGGCUUGCCUUUCUCAAACGUGCUGGGUCGGUGAUCCGGACACUCCUGUAGUUCCUCUCCGGACUCCUGUGCUUCCGGAGGUUCCGGCUCCUGAAUCUCCUCUGGCUCCUCGGGUCCCACCUCGUUCUCCUGCGAGCCUGUAUGAUGCAUGUGUGCUCAUGAGUGGAGUGCGAGAUGCCGGAGUGGAUGCUUGUGUGAGAAAGUACCAAAGGGUCAUGACAUGAUGCGUAGGCGAUUUAAUUGGUCAUGCUCUUUACAAGGUAGUCAACAUCAUCCAAGAGUAAGCAAUUGAAUUAAACAUCUAGUGCAUUCUCUUCUACAGUUAUUUUUUUUUAAGUGUGACCAGUAACCCACAAGUUGCUUCAAAGAUACACCAAACCCAAACUUAUUCUAUUCAACCUAUAUAUACAACAAUCCAUAAUUUUCUUUAUUCAUUUCUAGGCCCAUUAAAAUUUACAUGCAGUUCUUUACAUCAAUAAAUUCCACAAAAAUUACAGGAGACUACCAGCCAAGCAUAAAGUCUACUGUAAAUUUUUCAUAAUUUUUGGAUACUUAUUUUGAGCUGCAAAAAUCACAAGAUUAAUUAAUAAGGUAAGUAUAAUUACUCCACAGUGAUAUAAGUGUCAAACAACAGCUUUCAUAUUUUUACAAUUUGUCUAAUAUCAUAAGAAACAUCCACAAAAAUUUCCAGAUUAAUUGCAUGACCUAGUUAAUUAUUAAAAAUCAUAAACCACUGCCAUGGAAGCAUUUAAAUUACCAUAAAUUCAUUUAUACACCAAAUAAUGUAUAGCAAUAUUUUCCCAGUGAGUUAACAUACAUGCAGAGCCAACAAAUCAAGUUUCACAUUUUUAUGAACCAUAUUUUAAUUACUAUGCAUUUUCCAACUUUAGCAAAAACAUAGAUUACAUAUAUUCAUACAGAAAAGUUACUCAAACAUGACAUGCAAUUGCAUCAAACUGUAGAUCUGGAAAUAUAGAACACACCAAAACUUAUUUCAUCAAAUUUGGAGCUGUAGAACUCAAGAUAUGAAUUUUACAAGUUUUGAAUCAAUUUCUGGAAAACAUUUAUUUAAGAAAACCGACGCAAAAGGCUAAACACACCCGGAUCUACACCCACCGCGGUCCCCCUGCGACUGACAGUGGGCCUCUGACCCCACUGGUCAGCGAGACCGAGGGGGAGCACACCUCCGACGAGCAGAUCUCGCCGGCGCUGGGGUCUCCGACCACGGGGUGAGCACCAUCGUGCUCCCCGUAGCGAGGCGCACCCAGCGGUACCCUCGGAUUGACCGGAGGAUGGCCGGAGCACCUCCGACAAGCGUGCAUGGUGGCACGGCGGCACUGCUCGCCGUGGCCAGGCCGCUCCGGCGCGGUAGAGCGCGCGCAAACGUCUCUCCGAGCUUCCUCACCACCCUACCGACCUAGCGCAACCAAGAACCAGCGAAAAGAGGCAGGGAAACGCAAGAUCCGACGCGGCGGAGUACUCCGGCGAGCUCGGGGUAACUCCGGCGAGCGAUUCACGGCGCUCGACGGACUCUCACCUCGGUAGAACGCUCGCAGGAGCUUACCCUAACGACGGCGAACGCGCUGGUGGUUUCGGUGUCGAGGUUUGGUCUCUGGGGUGGCCGGCGGUGAGCAGCGGAGCUGCUCCGGCGAUGGCGCUACGGCGGAGUUGCUGCGGCUGCGCUGCGCGAGCGGAGGGAGGAGGAGGAAGAGGGGCGCGCGACAGAGUGGAGCGAAUGGCUUGGGAGCUCGAGCCGACGUCCCGACCAGGGGGGUGUAGGUGGCCGGCCGCGGCGCGCUCCUCGCCGGCGUACGGCCGCCACGUGGCCGACGCUGGCCGGGACGAGGCGCGUCCGCGCGCGUGGGAGAGAGGGGGAGGGGGAAGCAGGCCGGGCCGCUCGCUAGGCCGAAAGGGAGGCGGGGUUGGCCCGGCAGCGCCUGCCCCUUUUCCAUUUUUUUUUUGAAUUUCUUUUCUCAAAUUCUUUUCUAAAUUCAUUGGGACCAAUUUGAAAUCAUUUUCACCUCUUGCCCCCAAAAGCAAAGUUGUUCCAAAACAAGAACCCUACAACUUUGUUUUAAUAAGCAAGACCAAAUUCCAAACAGAAUUUGAAUUACAAAUUAAAACUAGUUCUAGGUUUUCAAAUAAAUUCAAUUUGGGGAUUUUUGUAUAAAUUCCAUUUCAUAAAUUCUAUAGCUCCAAAAAUUACACAAAAAUGUUCUUAAUUCUUCUUACACAUAAAUCAAUCUAGUUUGAAUAUUUCACAAUUUUAGAAGCAAGCAUCAAAUUUUUAGCAUAUUUAAAGCACAUGAAAUAAAGCACAUAAAAUCAUGUUUUGGGAUGAAUGACAUGCUCAUGAUGCUAUGCUUGAUGAGAAUGCUUAUGAAUGUUUUGAUAGGACUAAAUACAUGCUUAACACCUAGGGUGUUACAAUACCGAUUCCUGCCCCCCGGUCACACGUGGAUCCAUCAAAGAAGAGCGUCCAAGGCACAAUUUCCAAAGUCUCCACUGCACUGCGAUGUUGAGUUACAAAAUUGGCCAUAAUCUGUCCUUUAACCGCUUUAGCCGAUUCGUAACGCAAAUCAAAUUCCGACAGUGCCAAAAUCCACUUACCGAUCCUGCCACUCAUAAUCGGCAUAGAUAACAUAUAUCAGACCACAUCAUCUUUACAUAUAACGGUGCAUUCGGCCGAUAGUAAAUAGUGCCUCCACUUAAUGCACGAGAAAUAUAGGCAUAAACAUAAUUUUUCAAUAGCCGAAUACCUGGUCUCGGCAUCAAUCAAUCUUCUGCUUAAAUAGUAAAUCACACGCUCCUUACCUUCAAAUUCUUGAAUCAAAGCCGAACCGAUGACCAUCCCAUCGGUAGAUAAAUAUAAUCUGAAGGGCUUCCCUUGCUGAGGUGGAAUCAAGACUGGAGGAUUUAUCAAGUAAUUCUUGAUCUCAUCUAGAGCCAAAUGUUGCUCUUCCCCCAUAUGAACUCUUGAUCGGCUUUCAAUUUAAGCAAAGGACUGAAAGCACGAAUUCUACCAGACAAAUUAGAUAUAAACCGCCUGAUAAAAUUAACCUUGCCGAUCAGAGAUUGGAGCUCAGUUUUGUUAGUAGGGGCAACUAUUUUAUUGAUAGCAUCAAUAGAUCGUAUACUAAUUUCAAUUCUCCUCUCAUGCAACAUAAAACCAAGAAACUGCCCUGCCGAUACAUCGAAGGCACACUCAUUAGGAUUCAUCUUUAAACAAUGUUUCCUUGUGCAUUCCAACACUUUUCAUAGAUCGGCAAGAUGCAUUGUGAAAUCCCCAGAUUUAAUCACCAUGUCAUCAAUAUAAAUCUCCACAAGCUUGCCGAUGAACUCAUGAAAGAUGAAAUUCAUAACCCUUUGAUAGGUAGCACCAGCAUUUUUCAAACCAAAAGUCAUGACUAUCCACUCAAACAAUCCAACAUGACCAGGACAUCUAAAUGCAGUCUUUGGAAUAUCUUCCUCAGCCAUGAAUAUCUGAUUAUAUCCUGCAUUGCCAUCCAUGAAGCUAAUAAUCCGAUGUCCAGCUGCAGCAUCGACUAACAAAUCAGCAACUGGCAUUGGAUAGCCAUCCAUCGGCGUAGCUUUGUUAAGAUUCCUGAAAUCAAUGCAAACCCGAAGCUUCCCAUUUUUCUUAUAAACUGGAACAACAUUGGAAAUCCAUUCGGCAUAUCGACACUGCCGAAUAAAUUUAGCUUCAAUGAGUUUAGUUAUUUCAGCCUUAAUAUCAGGAAGAAUAUUGGGAUUACAUCGGCGAGCUGGCUGCUGAUGUGGCCGAAAUCCAGACUUGAUAGGUAACUGAUGUUCCACAAUCGAUCGGUCUAAACCAGGCAUCUCAGUAUAAUCCCAAGCAAAGCAAUCUUUAUAUUCCUUUAACAAAUCGGUUAACUGUUGCUUACACUCAGAAUCUAACUUAGCACUAAUGAAAGUAGGUCUAGGCCUAUUACCAUUACCUAUAUCUACUUCUACUAAAUCAUCAGCCGAUGUAAACCCUUGGCCUAACUUUCCAUCAUCGGCGAAUCUAUCCAUUAAAACUCUUCAUGAGAACCGACUGCUUGGAUCGGUGGAAUUUCAUAAUCGGCAACUUUGAGGAAAUCUUUCUCCCAAACUUCUCCUGAGAUACACCUAGUCCUUUCAUAAGUAUCUGCCUCUGCCGAUGCAAUAACAUAAGAAGAGUCUCCCGGGACAAUCUCAAUCUUGUCACCUACCCACUGGACCAAGCAUUGGUGCAUUGUUGAUGGGAUGCAACAAUUGGCAUGGAUCCAGUCUCUCCCUAGUAGCAGAUUGUAUGCACCUUUUCCACUGAUCACGAAGAAUGUCGUCGGCAAGGUUUUGCUGCCGAUGGUCAACUCAACACAUAUUGCCCCUUUAACCGGAGACACAUUUCCUUCAAAGUCCUUUAGCAUCAUAUCGGUCUCGGUCAAAUCUUGAUCUCCUUUCCAAAGUUUCCGAUAGACUGCAUAUGGCAUGAUAUUAAUAGUAGCCCCACCAUCAACUAAUAUCUUGGUCAUCGGCUGCCCAUCAACUCUUCCUUUGACAAAUAGGGCUUUGAGAUGCUGCCUUUCAUUAUCGGCAGGCUUUUCAAAGAUAGCCGUCAUCGGAUCCAGAGCCAGCUGAGCUAUCUGGUCAGAAAAAUCCAGCUCCUCAUCUUCACUGGACGGCGCAAGGAACUCCAUCGGCAACAUAAAUACAAUUGUCGGUGUUUUCCCCACGGGGGGUCACACCAACAAGUAAAUUUGUAUGCGUGCUCCCUUUUCCAGAUGGUGAUGCAAAAAGACGCAAAGAUUUAUCCUGGUUUGGGCAAGAGAAGGCCCUACGUCCAGCGGGGGGGGGGGGGGGAGAAUUUGUAUUAUUCUGCACCUAAGUGCUUGUACAGGGGUGAAUACAAGCGUGGUAUGAUGUAAGAUGGAGUGAGCUUGCACUACUGCGUAUGGCUUUGGUGUUGUGUCGUAUCGCGUGAUCUUGUAUCUGCUCCCGGGUCUCCCCUUUUAUAGUUCCAAGGAGAGACCUAGGGUACAUGUAUAGGCGUCAGAGUAGGGGUCGAUAGAGGUAUGGCGCGCUGACCUACUCGAGGCCUCCGUACCGGCGUGGUCUCGAGCAGUCCUGUCCUGGUAGCUUGAUGAUGAUUACGCGUGCCCCUGUAUCCCGCUCUGUACGCCGUCUUGGACUGGUUUAUCUGUUGCACGCCUGUACGUCAUGGCGGCAGAUACGUCGGAGUAGUUGCAGUGUUGUCAUUUGACGCCUAACCCUUUCCCUGGAAGGAAACGUGUCUGGUCGAGGGUCGAGUGCUGUGCGACGCCCCGCUAGCCAGAGCGCUGACCUUGGAUGUCUCGAGGGGGUCCUGAUUAGACGUUCCGACCCUGCUUCCUGCGCCCUGACAUGCUCUGGAUUGUUUGGUGGGGAAGGCUGCAAAAAGAAUGACGGGACGGGUGCCUGUUCCCUAUCACGCUUCCCGUGACUAGCGUGUUAGGUGAGAACACGACAGACGCAUUAAAUGCCCUGGUUCCCAUGCCCGUGUCAGGCGGCGGGCGGCGUCCUUGCACUCGACGCCUUCUGAUUCGCUCGAGCCUGUUUCCGUAUUCGAAGGUAACCGGUGCUCGAGCCCUGAUCUAUUCGUUCGACGCCCUUUCCGUCUUCGAGGCUGGGGACGCCGAUGACCGUACGCGUGAUUGGGUAAAGUGUCGAGUUGGAGGCCUCGACUUGUGUACGGGCAAUCUCGUCAUGUACAUCAGUUAGGAUACCCCUUACUGAUAUCCUCGACAGUAGCCCCCGAGUCUCCAUUCGAACGCUUGCGCUCGAGUGGAGGCUAUAUUUUUGUGGUCGAGGUUCCGUAGGGGCGUGCGAGCGACCCCGCGGGGGUAGCCCCCGAGCCCUUGGAGGAGUUUUUGACUCCUUCGAGGGUUAUAUCGCCUAAUGUGCAGAAACGCUGUCGACACGUGUGGUGGAAGGUUUUGAUUGGCUCGUUUUGCGCAGGGGUUCCGACGUACUCUCGAUAGAGCAUGCGUCAUCCACCCCAGAUCGAGUUCCUAACAGGUAGUCCAAGUGAGAACCUGUGCCCCUUUCGAGGGGGUCAGCUGUAUCCCGGAGGCGUUCUCAUAAAGCGGGGUCGACAUGGUCGGGGAUGCUGGUCUCGUUCGAUAGAGUCCAGUGGCUCGAUGCCUCCCGUCGGGGGGAUUCCUAUCGACUGUCUAGACCUUGCCUUGGACAGCCCCAGCGAGUUUUCGAGGCAGGCCUCGAUUUUCGACUACUCGCCGGGCAUCCCUGACUCUGGUGCUCGAGAUCGGCUGUCGAACCCUUUCUGCGGGUCAGCCUGCGACCUCCCGAGACUCUCGUAGGUACGUACCUUGGCUUACAAGAGAAGGAAGAGGCCGUGGCGGUUCACCUUUUUGCCCGUUGGGCGCGUCUUUUCAGGCGGGAGCCGUUGCGACACUGUACCGGCGCAGAAUUCGUAGCGCCCCGUCUGUGAGACGAAAAAGACCGUUAGGCGGCGCAUUUAUGGCGGGGAGUUACCGCAUUUAUCGGAUCUAUCCGUUGGUGGUCGCUGUCUAUAAAUAUCCCGUGGCCUUGCCAUCGUUCUCCCUUCCGCCUUCUGCCUCUGCUCUUGCCUUAGCUCCCUCGCCAUCUUACCUGCGCACGCACCCUCGAGUAGCAGCGAAUCCGUCUUCCUUCCACCCAGAGAUGCUUGUGAGACUUGUCGUCGCUCACGACUGGUGCCCGUCAUCGAUGACGGAGCGCCGGUUGCUGGAGCUCGAGAGGGAGGGACUCCUACGCCAUCGCACAUCUUUGUCGUCGUUGGAGUGGAUUGCGCCGUCGGCGGACCACCGAGAGUCCAAGCCGCCCAAGGGCUAUGUGGUUUCAUUCGCCAAGUUCCAUCACCAUGGCUUGGGCGCUCCCCCGAGUCGCUUCAUGCGGGCGCUCUGCCACCACUAUGGGGUGGAGCUUCAGCAUUUCUCCCCAAAUGCCAUCACCGUCGCGGCGGUCUUUGCCGCGGUGUGUGAGGGCUAUUUGGGGAUGAUGCCCCACUAGGACCUGUGGCUCCACCUCUAAAGGGGCGAGCUCUUCAACGCCCCCACUGGGACCACAGGCGUGAGGAAACCCGUGUGGGCUGGGUGCCUCAACUUGGUGCUGAAGACGGGGAAGACGGAGAGGCCACGCGAGUACAUCCCGGUAGGAUUGUCAUCGAACCACGCCGGAUGGGACACCCAGUGGUUCUACCUGAGGAAUGAUGAUGGUCUCCUUCCUGCCUACACCGACCGCCUGAUCACGGAGCGCCCGGAGAACUGGACGUACGGAGUCGUCCAAGUUCACCAGUCGUGGCUCGACCCCCUCCUCGACGCCUUGAAGAAAUUGCGCGUGGAAGGCCUGACCGCCGCUCUCGUCCUUACGGCCGUCCAUCAUCGGAGGGUUCUCCCGUUGAUGUCUCGGCCGCUGAGGAUGGAUGAGAUGGGUCCUGGCGUCUCGUCCCGGGACCUCGAGGCGUCGCCGGAUGUCCAACGAGGCUCCGACGGAUGAUGAGGUUGCGGCUCGGAUCCGGGCGGCCGUCGCCGGCGACUUCCAGCCGGAGCACGUCAACAGCUUCCCUAUGAGGCCUGAUGAGGGGUCAGUCAAUCUGGUAAGUUCUUCCCUUGCGUAUGGCUUUGAUUCCGGAUUUCCUUCGAUCCCCUUUUUAAGCUUGUCCUUGCUCUCGCAGGGAUCGAUCGACGUUCGGUCCUCGAGGCCUCCAGUAAAGGAGGACGGGGUCGACCGUGACAAGCGGCGGCAAUCUGUAGAAAAGCAGAAGUCCACAAAGGACUCAUAAAAGAAAGAGAAGAAGAAGAAGAAUCUCGAUCGCCAAUCGUUAGAGGCGCAUCGAGCCAAGUCUAGGCAAAGGGGGGAGCCUGAGGAAGAAUCCCCCAGUGAGGACGAUGGCGGAGACGACGACGACGACAGCGACGACUCCGAGGGGAUGGCAUCUCGCCUCGACCGGAUCCUCGAGGGUCCGCCUUGAGGCGACAUCGACGCCCCACGGACGGGAGCGCCCAAGGAGGGUCCUGGCGGAUCUCACCUCCCCCGCGCUGACACUACUCCCGCGCCUGCGCCAGGUCGGGCCGUCCCACACCACCAACCUCCCCCUGCACCAAAGGCGGGCGGCCAGGCUAAGCCCUAGGCGACGGGGCCGUUGACCCGUGGCCGCGCCGCGGCCUCCGAAAAGGGAGAAACUGGCCGCAGGAGCGCUAGCCCCGGCGCUCGCCAGGUGGGAGAUGCUGGACCAAGGUCUGCGCCUACCCGUGAGGGGCCCGGAGCCCUGACGCGGGGCGGCUCGAGGCCUGCCGGUCGAGGUACCGGCAGGCGGGCCGUUCUUCCUGUGGGGUAAGUUCUUCGACGCUGUGAUUCUCAUCCUCCUCUUUCUUUGCAUUUUCUCGUAUAACGGUCUCCCUUAUGUCCAUUUCUCUUUCCUCAGGUUGAAGCGGACGCUUGAGCAGGCCCAGCCUUCAAUGGCGAAAAGGCUUAAAGCGGGCGCGGCCUCCAGAGAUUCGGGUUAGUGGCUUAUUCUCAUUGUUAUGGGAGACAUGUCAUUCUGGUGGCGACUGACCUUUGCCUUUGUGUGUUUUAUAGGCUCCUCCGACCCUCGACCACCGACUGGCACCGAGAAAGCCCCACCCCGUCCCCUGGUGGGUGAGUCCGCCCCAUCGUCGCCAAAGCGGGUCGAGGCACCUCACUCCCAAGGGCAGGAGGGAGCCCCCGAGCCCCCCUGAUCUGGGGUCGAGGGGGACCCUAUCACCAUAAGUGAUGGGUGUGGCGGCGACGGUACUUCGAGGGAUGCCCGUCCAAUGGACGAGGAGGCCCAGACUUCUCUCGUCGCGGGGCGGACGCCUUGGCCCACCGGGCUUCGCUCCAUCGAGGAGCAGAGGAAGAAAGAGGAGGAGGAGCGUGAGCAGGAGACGCGUCAGUAGCUGCAGGAGGAGCAGUGGCUGGGGUGGAAAGAAUGGGAAGAAGGGCAUCCGUCGGCCCACCCUCAGCUCGAGGGGCUGCAGGAGCAGGACCGUCAACAGGAGCCGCAGGAGCUCGAGGGGCUGCAGCAGCAGGGAGGCCAGCAGUUGGCGGAACCGCUUGAUCCGCCCCAACCAGAGCCGAUAGCACCACAGGAGCCUGGAAACCAGGAGGAGGGCCUGCCAGUUUUUGGUCCUCCGACCCCGGCGUGGCUCCGUCCGAGGCCGCCUGCCGCGAUCCCAGCAAAGUCGGGGCGGGCGGACGGCGUGGUGGCGCUCGCCUGCAUGAUGCGUACUCCCGUCGACCCCAACUCUGAGAUUAGGAGGACGAUCUACGAUAUGGAUGGAAUCGCUCCGGGGUUCCUCCGGGGGCGUCAAUCAUGGGAGGAGCGCGUCCCCUCCGAGGAAGAUGAGAUCGGGACGUCGGGUGGCGGUGGCGGCAGCGAGGCUGGGACGUGGAAGACGGUGGAUGACGAUGGCCGGUUCCCUUCUCUCGUCGACCUGUUCCUGCGCCACGGGGGGUCUCUCGAAACCGUCGAGGAGCUCAUCCGAGGCGUCAAGGCGCGCGCCGACCAGGAGAUGGAGAACUGGUGUCCCGACCGGAUCUGCAUCUGGGCUUCCACCGAUCCGUCCAAACCCAAUAUCUUUUUGGACGACCGAAAGGAGGCCGAGAAGUGGGAGCACGUCGAGGAGCUUCGCCUGUGGAUGAAGCACACGGUGGGGCUCUUGUCUGAUGUGGUUAACAACAGGCUUGCACCGGCCUACUUUGUAAGUGUUUUUCAGUCCUUAAUCCUUAUAGAACAUUUGGUUUUGUGUUCUAACUGCUCGAUCACCAGCUCGUAGGACCUGAAAGAGACCUCCUGCAUCAAGUCGAGCUUCAUCCACGCCACGAGAGGCGGCUGGGAGCAGCUCCCCAUCCUCAAGGACAAACUCCUAGAGUCGCAGGAGAAACUCCUCAAGGCUUAUAAGGAGCUCUUGGCGCUCGAGGAGGAGAAGAAGGAGAGGGAGGCUGCUCUGGUCGAGGCUCGAGAGGCCUCGAGGAAGGCAGUGGAAGUGGCUGUGCUGCUGAGGGAGCGGGCUAUGAUGGUCGAGGAAGCUGCGUCCAAGGCCCGGGACGAGGCCCUGACCUACAAGAGCACGGCUGCUGACCUAGAUAAGGAGAAGGGCCUCCUCCAGACUGAACUCGCCUCCGCCCGGGAAACCUUCCAAAGGGUGAAGGUGGAGUGCGUGAAUAGCGAGAUCGUCAGGAGCGCCGCAGAGGAGGCCAAGAAGAAGGCCCUCGAGGAUCUCGAGGCGGAGCGGGCUCGAUCCCGCAGCCUUUCUGACGACGUCGAUCGUCUGAAGAGAGCGUUGCUGGAAAAAGAUGGGGUCAUCGCGCAAGCCGGCAAGGCGAUCGAAGAUCUGCGUGUCGCCAACACCGAGCUGGCGCGCUCCAACAGGGAGGUUGAGAGGGCCAACACCAACUUGGUUGGCGAGAACAUGGCUCUGGAGGAGAGCAUCCGCAGUAUGUUUCUACUAUCGAGUUUUCUUUUCGAGGUGUGUUUGGUGUUAGCUAAUUUCCUCGUGUUGGCCUUUGCAGGGCUUAAAGACGAGCUGCUGGCCGCCCAAGUCGAGGCUCGCUCCGCCAAGGCCCAGCUCGAGGGGGAG